rnacentral:lncRNA from 1 species
UAGGUAAGGUAAACUACAGAGCAUAACACGUUGCCCCCCUUCCAUGGCUCGCUCAGCUCUGGGUAAGAAAGAGCCUAAGUAGAAUCACAGUGCUGAUUUUGACCGCUGGACUGCUUGUUGUCGACGCCUCCAUCGCCACUGUGGCCUGGAGUUGAUGUGUGCUCCGGUCGGUCGGCAGUGGAGGACAAGUGGGAGUUAGGGCAUAGCUAUAGCUAGCGGCGGUGUUCUUGGUCGUUCUAGCUGUCUGUGGGCCGUGCCAUUGAUUCCGGUAGGGUAGAUGGUCUGUAUGGCCUUGAAGAAAAGUUUGCCAACGGAAGGAAGGAAUCCAAAUGUAGGUGUGUAAUUAGUACUGGUAGUAUGUUGCUUUCGCUUUCUGUCGAUGAAAUGAAAUGAAAUGUUUGCUCCAUGCUCCUGGCCCAUAUGUGUAUGUAUGGGUGGCGGUUGUUGCACAUCGACAGUAUCUCCGGGCAUGUAACUUGGUUUUCCUGGGUCCAGCUAUUUAUUUUGGUCAUCAAACUCGGAACAGAGAUGGGUUCGAACGGAAUCGAAUACGGAGUACAAUAAUUAUUUUGUUGGCUCUGUAUUCUGGGCCAUCCAUCGCAAAUGAUUGCAUCGAACAUACGUACUCCUGAAAUUUAGUUGCCUGCAUCUUGGGGUGGAGGAGUAAAUGAAGACUAUUCAGCAGAACCUGUUCAUUGAAUUAUUGAGUUAUCCACACUGGCGUCUGCCUCGGAAUUUCUCUGUAGUUUCUGUAUCACAUGUACAUACAGAAACAGUUUUCGUCGGCAAAGCGGUUCAAGGCUUGGGAGCCACAGGUGUCGGUUUCCCGCCGUGUCUAUUUUUGAUUCAUUUCGAAGCCCAGGUUGCUGUGGUGAAAGCGCUCAGUUUUGUGUGCUGUCGGUUGUGUACUGGAGACGACAGUGCUGGAGUUUGGAUUGGCUUUCACGAUCCGCGUCUCGUUUGCAUCGAAGAGGGCAACCACCCCACACCCACAUGCAAAUUUGAAUUUGAAAGAGUGCGAGUGCUCUACACUUCUUCUGCUAUGGUGCCAAGCAUGUGGAUUUGGAUGCUCGAUCUGUUCCGCAAACGAGGCUGUUGUUGGGUUCACAAAAAUGGAAACGGGAACGGGGCCGGUGUCGGAACUCGGGCUGGAGUAGCACCCAAGUCUUUCUUCAUGGCACCCUAUGUGUCUGCCUUGUCGAUCCUCCCUUCCCUCCACGAAUUUGUUGUGCCCCGCGAAGUUGCACCAACAGCCGCUUGUAGCAAAAAAUUUAGGACGCAUGUAGCGAGCAGCCGUUGUCCGCUAGUGCUCCGUGGCAGCCGGUGAUUUUUGGUAAGCAUCUAUCUCCGUGUUUUUAAUUAGGAAAGAUUAACUAUUUAAACAGGAAAUAUCUCACCAACAUGCGUAUUAAAUGGUCUACAUGCAUCCGACUGUGUCCUAUUUUACUUCAUGUGCGUGGAUGACUUUCUAUCAUUUAAUUCACGAUUUACAAAUUUUAAAAAGCUAUAGCUUUCAAACCGCACGUCGAAAUUAAGAUCCGUUUUCACUUUUGGAACCCUCGUGACGUGCUCUUCGAAACUAAAUCCUAUAUGGGCAUGUUUUGAUGAAUUUUUUUGUGCAAUUUAGUCCCUCGUUUUGUGCAACUGCUUAGGAGUCGAUGUGCAACUAGCUGACAGUGGUUGUGCAACUUCCCGCCUACCCGUGAACGUGCAAUUUUUACUGAUCUCACCCCCACCCCAAACUAUUUACUUCUAGUGAGGCCAACUGCGUAGCAGUUGAUGUGCAACUGUCCUCAUGCCCGUGGAUGUGCUUUCACUAUUUGCUGCAUCGGCCAACUGCCUAAUAGUGGAUGUGCAACUUUGGAUACUAUCACGGUCAACUGUCUAAGAGUGAUGUGCAACUUUCCCUAAAUGUGUGGUUUUCCUGCUAGCACCCGGUCCAAACCACCCCUACUAGUGAGAUGUACAACUUUCGCGUUGUGCCUAUAUGCAACUUUUCACUACCCUCAUGAAUGUGGAAUUUUCACCAUCCAAACUACCCCUGCCUGCGAGAGGGGGAGAGUGUGUCCACGUACCCUUGUAGACCGAAAGCGGAAGCGUUUGACAACGGGGUUGAUGUAGUCGAACUUCUUCUCGUUCCGACCGAUCAAAGACCGAACGUACGGCACCUCGGAGUUCUGCACACGUUCAGCUUGAUGACGUCCCUAGAACUCUUGAUCCAGCAAAGUGUCGAGGGGGAGUUCCGUCAGCACGACGGCGUGGUGACGAUGAUGGUGAAGUGAUCCGCGCAGGGCUUCGUCUAAGCACUACGUGAAUAUGACCGGAGGCGUAAACUGUGGAGGGGGGCGCCGCACACGGCUAACAAUGUUUGUUGUGUGUUCUAGCGGUGCCCCCCUCAUAUAUAUAUAGGUUGGAGGGGAGGAGAGGCAGCCAAGGGGGCGCCCCAAUACUUGGGGUCCUCCCAAUUCGGCCUCCCCCCUUUCCUAUUCCUAUUCGGAGUAGGAAGGGAAGAGGGGGAUGGGGGAAUCCUAUUCCCUUUUUCCUUUCCUUCCUCCCCUUUCCUUCUCCAUUUUGGCCAGCCCAUAUGGGGGGGGGGCACCAGCCCCUUUGUGGCUGGUGUGUUUCCCCUCUCGGCCCAUUAGGCCCAUAUAGAUUGCCGAGGGUUGCCCGGAACCCCUUCCGGUGACCCGAUACGUACCCGGUACCCCCAGAACACUUCCGGUGUCCGAAUACUAUCGUCCUAUAUAUGAAUCUUUACCUCUCGACCAUUUCGAGACUCCCCGUCAUGUCCGUGAUCUUAUCCGGGACUCCGAACAACAUUCGGUCACCGAGGGAGUCCAGGAUUACGGGGUCCUCGGACGUCCGGGCUAUGUGACAUGGGCCGGACUGAUGGGUUGUGAAGAUACAAGAUAAAAAGUUUUCCCCCGUGUCCGGAUGGGACUCUCCUUGGCGUGGAAGGCAAGCUUGGUGUGCGAAUAUGAAGAUUCCUUUCUCUGUAAACCGACUCUAUACAACCCUAGCCCGCUCCGAUGUCUAUAUAAACCGGAGGGUUUAGUCCGUAGAGGCAAUCAUAAUCAUACAGGAUAGACAUCUAGGGUUUAGCCAUUACGAUCUCAUGGUAGAUCGACUCUUGUAACUCCUAUACUCAUCAAAGUCAAUCAAGCAGGAAGUAGGGUAUUACCUCCAUCAAGAGGGCCCGAACCUGGGUAAACAUCGUGUCCCCUGCCUCCUGUUACCUUCGAUCCUUAGGCGCAUAGGUCGGGACCCCCUACCCGAGAUCUGCCGGUUUUGACACCAACAUUGGUGCUUUCAUUGAGAGUUCCACUGUGCCGUCGUGAAAAGGCUCGAUGGCUCCGUCGAUCAUCUACAACAACGCUGCCGGGAAGGAGACUUUCCUUCCCGUCCAGAUCUUCGUAUUCGGCGGCUUCGCACUGCGCGCCAACUCGGUUGGCCACUUGGAGCAGAUCGACAGCUACGCCCCUGGUCGCCAGAUCAAUUUUGGAAAUCUAAACUAUGUCGCUGAUAUCCGAGGAGACUUGAUCUUCCAAGGGUUCGCGUCCCCAACCACCCCUCCGGCCUUAGAUCUGGAGCGCGUCACUAGGUCCGAAGACAGGAGUCUAGAGCCCGCCGGACCCUCUGUGGCCUUAGAGCUCAAUACCGGAAAACCGGAGAGAAUAGUGUCUCCGGCAAUCAUUACAAAGCCGGACUCUUCUCCGGACACUAACUCCGUACCCUGGAAGUCCGCGUCAAGCGAGUUCGGCCAGGGACCUUCUGUCCCCAUCCAAACCUCGCUCUUAAACGAGGCUCUGGACUUAAUGUGAUCCCUCGCCAUCACAGAGGGACCGCUUCCGAAUUGCGCCCAACCCGGACUAGGGGCUGAAAACAGGGAAUUUUGCUUCCCACCCGCCACCCACUUCAUAGCCACUGUCGAGGAUCUUACCGACAUGCUCGAUUACGCCUCCGAAGACAUCAACGGUAUGGACGACGUUGCCGGAGAGGAGCAGGCCCAAAACCCGCCGUUCACCGGACGCUGGACGGCCAAUUCCUCAUACGACGUAUACAUGGUGGACACACCUAAGGAAGGCGACGACGAUGGUGAGAAGAACCCAGCCGAGGACGAACCUCCUGAGAUACCACCAAAACACCGAUGUCAGCGGUGCCGCUCUAAAUCGCGUCGUGGAAAAGACAACAAUACCAACACCGGAGACAAUGAUACUCCAGAAAACGCCGAAGACCAAGAAGACCCCAUCGAACCAACAUCCGAACAGGAUGAUCGGGAGGACGGGCGGGUCGACCCAGACGAGCAAGUAGGGAACAAAGACUUGGAGGAUAACAACUAACUCUCCGAGGACAAUGUGAGCCUUGGCAACGAAGAUUUUAUCGUGCCGGAGGAACCCCUCGAACAAGAGCGCUUUAAGCGCCGGCUAAUAGCCACGGCAAGAAGCCUUAGAAAGAAGCAACAGCAGCUUCAAGCUGACCAAUACCUGCUCAAUAACAGAUGGACUAAUGUCCUGGCAGCCGACGAAUACGGCCUCGAGCGCCCAACAAAGAGUUACCCGAAGCGUAAGCUGCUACCCGAAUUCGACGAUGAGGCGCUGGAGCCUAUACCACCCUUGCGUAAUGCCGUGGACGGACCCGAUCGACCACCACGUGGCCGGUUAGAACAUUAACUCAAGCUGAACACCAGCCCGCACUACCGCGCUGCAAAAGCAGAGAGACAAUAGGGAUACACAUAUGACCUACGACAUGACCUGGAAAAUAGAACAUGUCAGACCAGAUCAAUCUACGGAUCGCGGGGGCGUGACCCGGCGCGAGAAGAUGGCUAUCAAGCCUGGCACAACAAGCAUAAUCACGCCCGGGCAGAAAACCGCAUCCGGACUUCGUCCGAACUGCGUCGUGAUGUGGCCCGAUACAGAGGUGCCGCACACCCUCUAUGCUUCACCGAUGAGGUAAUGGAGCACCAGUUCCCAGAAGGGUUUAAACCCGUGAACAUAGAAUCAUACGACGACACAACAGAUCCCGCAGUAUGGAUCGAAGACUUUCUUCUCCACAUUCACAUGGCUCGCGGUGACGAUCUACAUGCCAUCAAAUACCUUCCCCUAAAACUUAAGGGGCCAGCUCGGCACUGGUUAAACAGCCUCCCAGAAAACUCUAUUGGUAGCUGGGAAGUCUUGGAAGACGCAUUCAGAGAUAACUUCCAAGGCACCUAUGUUCGGCCCCCAGACGCCGAUGACCUUAGCCAUAUAAUCCAGCAACCCGGGGAAUCGGCCCGACAGCUCUGGACCAGGUUCUUAAUCAAGAAGAACUAGAUUGUGGAUUGUCCAGACACCGAAGCCCUUGCGGCCUUCAAGCAUAGCGUCCGAGACGAAUGGCUCGCCCGACACCUCAGCCAAGAAAAGCCGAAGUCCAUGGCAGCCCUUACUGCACUUAUGACCCGAUUCUGCGCGGGAGAGGAUAGCUGGCUUGCUCGUAGAAGCAAUAGCACCGGCGACCCCGGAACCUCCAAAACCAAGGAUGGCAAUGGGAAGCCACGACGCGACAAGCACAAGCGUCGAAACAACAAUGAAGGAACGCAAGACAGGGCGGUUAAUGCCGGAUUCAUCGGCUCCAAACCCGGUCAAUGGAAGAAGCCAUUUAAGGCAAACAGAGAUGGCCCAUCCAGCCUAGACAGAAUACUGGAUCGGCCAUGCUAGAUUCACGGCACCCCCGAUAAACCUGCCAAUCAUACCAACAGAAAUUGUUGGGUCUUUAAGCAGGCCGGCAAGCUUAACGCCGAACACAAGAAAAAAGGAUCACCAAGCGACGACGAUGACCAAGAGCCUCGCCAACCGAACACAGGGGGACAGAAGCAAUUUCCCCCCGAAGUAAAAAUAGUGAAUAUGUUAUAUAUCACACAUAUCCCUAAGAGGGAGCGCAAGCGCGCACUACGGGACGUCUACGCUAUGGAGCCGGUCGCCCCAAAAUUCAACCCAUGGUCGGCUUGUCCGAUCACCUUCGACCGAAAGGACCACCCAACCAGUAUCCGUCACGGAGGUUCGGCAGCUCUGGUCCUCGACCCAAUCAUCGAUGGAUUCCAUCUUAUGCGAGUCCUCAUGGAUGGCGGCAACAGUCUCAAUCUACUUUAUCAAGACACUGUCCGCAAAAUGGGCGUUGAUCCGUCAAGAAUCAAGCCCACUAAAACUACCUUCAAAGGAGUAAUACCUGGUGUAGAGGCCUGCUGUACAGGCUCAAUCACGCUGGAGGUCAUCUUCGUUUCGCCAGACAACUUCCGAAGCGAAGACUUGAUCUUCGACAUCGUCCCGUUUCGCAGCGGCUAUCACGCACUGCUUGGACGAACCACUUUCGCCCGCUUCAAUGCGGUCCCGCACUAUGCCUAUUUGAAGCUCAAGAUGCCCGGUCCAUGUGAUGUCAUUACAAUCAAUGGAAACACGGAGCGCUCCCUCCGUACUGAGGAGCAUACCGAGGCCAUUGCAGCCAAAGUACAAAGCGGCCGUGUCAAGCCGCACACCUCAUCGGCUAUUAAGCCACCGGACUUCACCGCGCAAGGCCGGUCAGUUCUGCAUGCCAGCAGUCCGGCAACUUCAGGGCUGGAUUAGCAGCUUCGCCUCCGUCGACCGCCACGUACAUCAGUGAAAUUCAUACCGCACGUGCAUAAUUAUGCACUCAAAAUACCUUGGGCAUCGGCGGGGGCAAUAUACGGACAGUCCUAUAACACGGUUCGACCUUACACGGCCUUCCCCUUUAUUUAAUCAUCUUUUCCUUUUUACCAUAGGUGAAUCAAAACCUACUCGUUCUCCGGACUCACAAGGACUCUCUCCGAGCCCGAUUCCAUAUACAUAGCUGAAGACCAUUCCUCUAAAGGACUCUUCCUUAUUUGGGCGAAAGCGGCGCAGAUGUGCGGCAGGAAGGUGCAAAGCAUUUUGCAGACCACAACUUUACUCAAGAACCUGUAUAGAGCUUUUCCCUUAGCCCUAGACCCCCGGCAUAUAAAAUGGCCCUGGUGAUGGUACCUUCUGUAAGAUUACGUUUUGACGAAUCAGAUUUCAUUGAACCAAAAUUCUUAUUUGGUAUGUUAAGUCAUUUCACGCACGCACCUCGGCAUAAAAUUUCUAGGGGCUCUAAGACAACAUAUGUGUUGUCAAAUAAAAGUCCGAACAGCUUCACAGCAAAAUUCGGCAUCCCGAGUCCGGCAUUAUAUGCAUCAGCUCCGAAUCAUGUCUUUGGUCAAUAGUUGGGUUGCCCGGCUCCUGUGAUUGCUACCUUACGUUCCGUCUGAUCGGCUAGGGUAGUAAAGGGAGAACUACUGUGAUUGUGUUUCUGGUUCGUCCGGUUAAGCACCUCAGUAGAGAAAGCCAAAAACUGACUAUUAUGAUGCGGCGAGAGCUGGUCAGCCACUCGGCGAUUCAUUACAAUCCUUAGCGAUUUUUCCGUAUUACACGAAGACUGUUUCCCGGUCAAACAUGUAGCGCAUCCGCAUCAGGAUAGCCGUGUACAUACCAUGGGCUACCUAUUAGACCCAUUGUCAAACUCCUACAGCUAAGUGAGAGCAAUAAAACCGAAUAGUCUGAUUGCCUGGUUUGCCGCACUGACACCUCCUUCAGGGACCAAGACGUUGGAUUAAGUGUAGUCAUGUGCAAUUCCGAACACCCCGUUGUAUCUACAUAGGGGCUGAAGCCGACGACAGGGAACUCUCAGAUAUAUUAAACGGCCGCACAAGAGGAUAAAACUUUUUCAUCAAGAAAUGAAUAUAUUACAAAAACUUAGUUCAUAAUACAAAUCCCCGGAUAGUUCGGACUCUUUUAUUCGAACACUACGUCCUUAGAGCAUUGGCCCUCUACAAGGCUAGCACCUUUUAGCACGUCUUCAAAAUAGCGCUCCGGUGUGCGGUGGGCCUUGCUUUCAGGAGGGCCCUCAGCUGCCACCUUUUCGGCAUUCAUCUUCACCCAGUGCACCUUGACACGGGCGAACGCCAUACGCGCUCCUUCUAUACAGGACCACCUCUUGACGGCGUCAAUCCGGGGCAGCGCAUCGAUGAGACGCCGCACGAGGCCAAAGUAGCUGUCCGGAAUGGCUUCGGCAGGCCACAACCGGACUAUGAGGUCCAUCAUGGCCGCACUGGACAUCUUAUGCAGCUCCGCCCAUUGUGCCAUCUGGUCAUUUAGCAGUACGGGACGCUCCUACCCCACAAACUGCAACCAGAAGAUCUUCUCUGUCGCAUACCCCUCCUGGGCUUGGAAGAAUUGGACGGCGUCCACGGCACUCUUCAGCAUAAACGUCUAGAAAACUCCACAGUCAAUUAAGCAAGGCAUACUCCGGAUCCCCAAAUUUAGCCUGUAAAAGAAAGGGCUUACCAGCCGCUAUCUGCCCGGCUUGACGGAUUUCCUCACGCGCGGCGCGGGAUUCAGACCGCGCCUCUGAAGCAUCAUGAAGGGCCUUGGCAAGUUCGGUCCCCUUCGUCUUAUUUUCCGAUUCCAAGGACUCGCACUUGGCGGCAGUGUCCUCGAGCUUUUUCUCCAUCUCGGUCACCCGUUCCUCACAAUGGCGCCGAGCGGCCUGUUCUGCCGUUAAAUCCGCAGCCGCCUUAUCAGCAGCUGCCCUGCUUACCCGCGCUUGCUCCUUGGCUUGAGCAAGCUCGCCCCUGAGGGUCUCCACCGCGGUGGCACUAUCUGUACAAACAUGCACAUGGCAGCUUUUCAAAACAACAUGGACAUAAACAGGCAUACAGUAAGAUGUAUAUUAUACCUUGUGCCUGGUCGAGCCGCGUGUUCACAAGGACUAGAUCCUCAUCGGCUCGCUCCAGUUUCCGUUUGAGUUUGGAAAUUUCCGCUGACUGGGCAGUCGCCGCUAACAGAGAAGCCUGUUUUACACCCAAAUAAAAUAGCAUGUUACCACCUGACAACUAAUUAUUGAUCCUCUGCUCGCUUUUUUCAAAUAGCCGAAUAGAGCCUCGGGGGCUAUUAUCUAUAUACAGGCAUAUUUCUCACAAAAAUGAUUAGAAAAACGAAACAUUACAUUGCGUACCUCGAAGCCUGCUAGCAGGCUAGAGAAGGCUUUGAAGGAAAUAUGCCCUAGAGGCAAUAAUAAAGUUAUUAUUUAUUUCCUUAUAUCAUGAUAAAUGUUUAUUAUUCAUGCUAGAAUUGUAUUAACCGGAAACAUGAUACAUGUGUGAAUACAUAGACAAACAGAGUGUCACUAGUAUGCCUCUACUUGACUAGCUCGUUGAUCAAAGAUGGUUAUGUUUCCUAGCCAUAGACAUCGGUUGUCAUUUGAUUAACGGGAUCACAUCAUUAGGAGAACGAUGUGAUUGACUUGACCCAUUCCGUUAGCUUAGCACUCGAUCGUUUAGUAUGUUGCUAUUGCUUUCUUCAUGACUUAUACAUGUUCCUAUGACUAUGAGAUUAUGCAACUCCCGUUUACCGGAGGAACACUUUGUGUGCUACCAAACGUCACAACGUAACUGGGUGAUUAUAAAGGUGCUCUACAGGUGUCUCCGAAGGUACUUGUUGGGUUGGCGUAUUUCGAGAUUAGGAUUUGUCACUCCGAUUGUCGGGGAGGUAUCUCUGGGCCCUCUCAGUAAUGCACAUCACUUAAGCCUUGCAAGCAUUGCAACUAAUGAGUUUGUUGCGAGAUGAUGUAUUACGGAACGAGUAAAGAGACUUGCCGGUAACGAGAUUGAACUAGGUAUUAAGAUACCGACGAUCGAAUCUCGGGCAAGUAACAUACCGAUGACAAAGGGAACAACGUAUGUUGUUAUGCGGUUUGACCGAUAAAAAUCUUCGUAGAAUAUGUGGAAGCCAAUAUGGGCAUGCAGGUCCCGCUAUUGGUUAUUGACCGGAGACGUGUCUCGGUCAUGUCUACAUAGUUCUCGAACCCGUAGGGUCCGCACGCUUAACGUUACGAUGACAGUUUUAUUAUGAGUUUAUGAGUUUUGAUGUACCGAAGGAGUUCGGAGUCGCGGAUGAGAUCAGGGACAUGACGAGGAGUCUCGAAAUGGUCGAGACGUAAAGAUCGAUAUAUUGGACGACUAUAUUCGGACAUCGGAAAGGUUCCGAGUGAUUCGGGUAUUUUUCGGAGUACCGGAGAGUUACGGGAAUUCGUAUUGGGCCUUAAUGGGCCAUACGGGAAAGGAGAGAAAGGCCCCAAAGGGUGGCCGUACCCCUUCCCAUGGACUAGUCCGAAUUGGACUAGGGAGGGGGGCGCCCCCUUCCUUCCUUCUCCUUCUCCCUUCCCUUCUCCUACUCCAACAAGGAAAGGAGGAGUCCUACUCCCGGUGGGAGUAGGACUCCUCCCCUUGGCGCGCCCUCCUCCUAGGCCGGCCGCCUCCCCCUUGCUCCUUUAUAUACGGGGGCAGGGGGGCACCCCAUAGACACAACAAUUGAUCUAUUGAUCUCUUAGCCGUGUGCGGUGCCCCCCUCCACCAUAUUACACCUCGAUAUUAUCGUAGCGGUGCUUAGGCGAAGCCCUGCGUCGGUAGAACAUCAUCAUCGUCACCACGCCGUCGUGCUGACGAAACUCUCCCUCAACACUCGGCUGGAUCGGAGUUCGCGGGACGUCAUCGAGCUGAACGUGUGCUGAACUCGGAGGUGCCGUGCGUUCGGUACUUGAUCGGUCGGAUCGUGAAGACAUACGACUACAUCAACCGCGUUGUGUUAACGCUUCCGCUUUCGGUCUACGAGGGUACGUGGACAACACUCUCCCCUCUCGUUGCUAUGCAUCACCAUGAUCUUGCGUGUGCGUAGGAAAUUUUUGAAAUUACUAUGUUCCCUAACAGUGGUAUCAGAGCCUGGUUUUAUGCGUAGAUGUCAUAUGCACGAGUAGAACACAAGUGAGUUGUGGGCGAUAUAAGUCAUACUGCUUACCAGCAUGUCAUACUUUGGUUCGGCGGUAUUGUUGGAUGAAGCGGCCCGGACCGACAUUACGCGUACGCUUACGUGAGACUGGUUCUUCCGACGUGCUUUGCACAGAGGUGGCUAGCGGGUGUCAGUUUCUCCAACUUUAGUUGAACCGAGUGUGGCUACGCCUGGUCCUUGCGAAGGUUAAAAUAGCACCAACUUGACAAACUAUCGUUGUGGUUUUGAUGCGUAGGUAAGAACGGUUCUUGCUAAGCCCGUAGCAGCCACGUAAAACUUGCAACAACAAAGUAGAGGACGUCUAACUUGUUUUUGCAGGGCAUGUUGUGAUGUGAUAUGGUCAAAGCAUGAUGCUAAAUUUAUUGUAUGAGAUGAUCAUGUUUUGUAACCGAGUUAUCGGCAACUGGCAGGAGCCAUAUGGUUGUCGCUUUAUUGUAUGCAAUGCAAUCGCCCUCUAAUGCUUUACUUUAUCACUAAGCGGCAGCGAUAGUCGUAGAAGCAUAAGAUUGGCGAGACGACAAUGAUGCUACGAUGGAGAUCAAGGUGUCGCGCCGGUGACGAUGGUGAUCAUGACGGCGCUUCGGAGAUGGAGAUCACAAGCACAUGAUGAUGAUGGCCAUAUCAUAUCACUUAUAUUGAUUGCAUGUGAUGUUUAUCUUUUAUGCAUCUUAUCUUGCUUUGAUUGACGGUAGCAUUAUAAGAUGAUCCCUCACUAAAUUAUCAAAGUAUAAGUGUUCUCCCUGAGUAUGCACCGUUGCGAAAGUUCUUCGUGCUGAGACACCACUGAUGAUCGGGUGUGAUAGGCUCUACGUUCAAAUACAACGGGUGCAAAACAGUUGCACACGCGGAAUACUCAGGUUAAACUUGACGAGCAUAGCAUAAAACAGAUAUGGCCUCGGAACACGGAGACCGAAAGGUCGAGCGUGAAUCAUAUAGUAGAUAUGAUCAACAUAGUGAUGUUCACCGUUGAAACUACUCCAUCUCACGUGAUGAUCGGACAUGGUUUAGUUGAUAUGGAUCACGUGAUCACUUAGAGGAUUAGAGGGAUGUCUAUCUAAGUGGGAGUUCUUAAGUAAUAUGAUUAAUUGAACUUGAAUUUAUCAUGAACUUAGUACCUGAUAGUAUCUUGCUUGUCUAUGUUAAUUGUAGAUAGAUGGCCCGUGCUGUUGUUCCAUUGAAUUUUAAUGCGUUCCUUGAGAAAGCAAAGUUGAAAGAUGAUGGUAGCAAUUACACGGACUGGGUCCGUAACUUGAGGAUUAUCCUCAUUGCUGCACAGAAGAAUUACGUCCUGGAAGCACCGCUGGGUGCCAGGCCUGCUGCAGGAGCAACACCAGAUGUUAUGAACGUCUAGCAGAGCAAAGCUGAUGACUACUCGAUAGUUCAGUGUGCCAUGCUUUACGGCUUAGAACCCGGUCUUCAACGACGUUUUGAACGUCAUGGAGCAUAUGAGAUGUUCCAGGAGUUGAAGUUAAUAUUUCAAGCAAAUGCCCGGUAGAGAUAUGAAGUCUCCAAUAAGUUCUAUAGCUGCAAGAUGGAAGAGAAUAGUUCUGUCAGUGAGCAUAUACUCAAAAUGUCUGGGUAUAAUAAUCACUUGAUUCAACUGGGAGUUAAUCUUCCGGAUGAUAGCGUCAUUGACAGAAUUCUUCAAUCACUGCCACCAAGCUACAAGAGCUUCGUGAUGAACUAUAACAUGCAAGGGAUGGAUAAGACGAUUCCCGAGCUCUUCGCAAUGCUAAAGGCUGCAGAGGUAGAAAUCAAAAAGGAGCAUCAAGUGUUGAUGGUCAAUAAGACCACUAGUUUCAAGAAAAAGGGCAAAGGGAAGAAGAAGGGGAACUUCAAGAAAAACAGCAAGCAAGUUGUUGUUCAGGAGAAGAAACCCAAGUCUGGACCUAAGCCUGAGACUGAGUGCUUCUACUGCAAGCAGACUGGUCACUGGAAGCGGAACUUCCCCAAGUAUUUGGCGGAUAAGAAGGAUGGCAAGGUGAACAAAGGUAUAUGUGAUAUACAUGUUAUUGAUGUGUACCUUACUAAUGCUCGCAGUAGCACCUGGGUAUUUGAUACUAGUUCUGUUGCUAAUAUUUGCAACUCGAAACAGGGGUUACGGAUUAAGCGAAGAUUGGCUAAGGACGAGGUGACGAUGCGCGUGGGAAAUGGUUCCAAAGUCGAUGUGAUCGUGGUCGACACGCUACCUCUACAUCUACCUUCGGGAUUAGUUUUAGACCUAAAUAAUUGUUAUUUGGUGCGAGCGUUAAGCAUGAACAUUAUAUCUGGAUCUUGUUUGAUGCGAGACGGUUAUUCAUUUAAAUCAGAGAAUAAUGGUUGUUCUAUUUAUAUGAGUAAUAUCUUUUAUGGUCAUGCACCCUUGAAGAGUGGUCUUUUUUUGUUGAAUCUCGAUAGUAGUGAUACACAUAUUCAUAAUAUUGAAGCCAAAAGAUGCAGAGUUGAUAAUGAUAGUGCAACUUAUUUGUGGCACUGCCGUUUAGGUCAUAUCAGUGUAAAGCGCAUGAAGAAACUCCAUACUGAUGGACUUUUGGAACCACUUGAUUAUGAAUCACUUGGUACUUGCGAACCGUGCCUCAUGGGCAAGAUGACUAAAACACCGUUCUCCGGAACUAUGGAGAGAGCAACAGAUUUGUUGGAAAUCAUACAUACAGAUGUAUGUGGUCCGAUGAAUAUUGAGGCUCGUGGCGGAUAUCGUUAUUUUCUCACCUUCACAGAUGAUUUGAGCAGAUAUGGGUGUAUCUACUUAAUGAAACAUAAGUCUGAAACAUUUGAAAAGUUCAAAGAAUUUCAGAGUGAAGUUGAAAAUCAUCGUAACAAGAAAAUAAAAUUUCUACGAUCUGAUCGUGGAGGAGAAUAUUUGAGUUAUGAGUUUGGUCUUCAUUUGAAACAAUGCGGAAUACUUUCGCAACUCACGCCACCCGGAACACCACAGCGUAAUGGUGUGUCCGAACGUCGUAAUCGUACUUUACUAGAUAUGGUGCGAUCUAUGAUGUCUCUUACUGAUUUACCGCUAUCGUUUUGGGGUUAUGCUUUAGAGACGGCUGCAUUCACGUUAAAUAGGGCACCAUCAAAAUCCGUUGAGACGACGCCUUAUGAACUGUGGUUUGGCAAGAAACCAAAGUUGUCGUUUCUUAAAGUUUGGGGCUGCGAUGCUUAUGUGAAAAAACUUCAACUUAAUAAGCUCGAACCCAAAUCGGAGAAAUGUGUCUUCAUAGGAUACCCAAAGGAAACUGUUGGGUACACCUUCUAUCACAGAUCCGAAGGAAAAACUUUUGUUGCUAAAUUCAGAAUUUUUCUGGAGGAGUUUCUCUCGAAAGAAGUGAGUGGGGGGAAAGUAGAACUUGAUGAGGUAACUGUAUCUGCUCCCUUAUUGGAAAGUAGUUCAUCACAGAAACCGGUUUCUGCGACGCCUACACCAAUUAGUGAGGAAGUUAAUGAUGAUAAUCAUGAAACUUCAGAUCAAGUUAUUACUGAACCUUGUAGGUCAACCAGAGUAAGAUCCGCACCAGAGUGGUACGGUAAUCCUGUUCUGAAGGUUAUGUUACUAGACCAUGACGAACCUACAAACUAUGAAGAAGCGAUGGUGAGCCCAGAUUCCGCAAAAUGGCUAGAGGCCAUGAAAUCCGAGAUGGGAUCCAUGUAUGAGAACAAAGUAUGGACUUUGGUUGACUUGCCCGAUGAUCGGCAAGCCAUUGAAAAUAAAUGGAUCUUCAAGAAGAAGACUGACGCUGACGGCAAUGUUACUGUCUAUAAAGCUCAACUUAUUGCGAAAGGUUUUCGACAAAUUCAAGGGAUUGACUACGAUGAGACCUUCUCACCCGUAGCGAUGCUUAAGUCUGUCCGAAUCAUGUUAGCAAUUGCCGCAUUUUAUGAUUAUGAAAUUUGGCAAAUGGAUGUCAAAACUGCAUUCCUGAAUGGAUUUCUGGAAGAAGAAUUGUAUAUGAUGCAACCAGAAGGUUUUGUCGAUCCAAAGGGAGCUAACAAAGUGUGCAAGCUCCAGCGAUCCAUUUAUGGACUCGUGCAAGCCUCUCGGAGUUGGAAUAAACGCUUUGAUAGUGUGAUCAAAGCAUUUGGUUUUGUACAGACUUUUGGAGAAGCCUGUAUUUACAAGAAAGUGAGUGGGAGCUCUGUAGCUUUUCUGAUAUUAUAUGUGGAUGACAUAUUGCUGAUUGGAAAUGAUAUAGAAUUUCUGGAUAGCAAAAAGGGAUACUUGAAUAAGAGUUUUUCAAUGAAAGACCUCGGUGAAGCUGCGUAUAUAUUGGGCAUCAAGAUCUAUAGAGAUAGAUCAAGACGCUUAAUUGGACUUUCACAAAGCACAUACCUUGACAAAGUUUUGAAGAAGUUCAAAAUGGAUCAAGCAAAGAAAGGGUUCUUGCCUGUGUUACAGGGUGUGAAGUUGAGUAAGACUCAAUGCCCGACCACUGCAGAAGAUAGAGAGAAGAUGAAAGAUGUCCCCUAUGCUUCAGCCAUAGGCUCUAUCAUGUAUGCAAUGCUGUGUACCAGACCUGAUGUAUGCCUUGCUAUAAGUCUAGCAGGAAGGUACCAAAGUAAUCCAGGAGUGGAUCACUGGACAGCGGUCAAGAACAUCCUGAAAUACCUGAAAAGGACUAAGGAUAUGUUUCUCGUUUAUGGAGGUGACAAAGAGCUCAUCGUAAAUGGUUACGUCGAUGCAAGCUUUGACACUGAUCCGGACGAUUCUAAAUCGCAAACCGGAUACGUGUUUACAUUGAACGGCGGAGCUGUCAGUUGGUGCAGUUCUAAACAAAGCGUCGUGACGGGAUCUAAAUGUGAAGCGGAGUACAUAGCUGCUUCGGAAGCAGCAAAUGAAGGAGUCUGGAUGAAGGAGUUCAUAACCGAUCUAGGUGUCAUACCUAGUGCAUCGGGUCCAAUGAAAAUCUUUUGUGACAAUACUGGUGCAAUUGCAUUAGCAAAGGAAUCCAGAUUUCACAAGAGAACAAGGCACAUCAAAAGACGCUUCAAUUCCAUCCGGGAUUUAGUCCAGGUGGGAGACAUAGAAAUUUGCAAGAUACAUACGGAUCUGAAUGUCGCAGACACGUUGACUAAGCCUCUUCCACGAGCAAAACAUGAUCAACACCAAGGCUCCAUGGGUGUAAGAAUCAUUACUGUGUAAUCUAGAUUAUUGACUCUAGUGCAAGUGGGAGACUGAAGGAAAUAUGCCCUAGAGGCAAUAAUAAAGUUAUUAUUUAUUUCGUUAUAUCAUGAUAAAUGUUUAUUAUUCAUGCUAGAAUUGUAUUAACCGGAAACAUGAUACAUGUGUGAAUACAUAGACAAACAGAGUGUCACUAGUAUGCCUCUACUUGACUAGCUCGUUGAUCAAAGAAGGUUAUGUUUUCUGGCCAUAGACAUGAGUUGUCAUUUGAUUAACGGGAUCACAUCAUUAGGAGAAUGAUGUGAUUGAUUUGACCCAUUCCGUUAGCUUAGCACUCGAUCGUUUAGUAUGUUGCUAUUGCUUUCUUCAUGACUUAUACAUGUUCCUAUGACUAUGAGAUUAUGCAACUCUCGUUUACCGGAGGAACACUUUGUGUGCUACCAAACGUCACAACGUAACUGGGUGAUUAUAAAGGUGCUCUACAGGUGUCUCCGAAGGUACUUGUUGGGUUGGCGUAUUUCGAGAUUAGGAUUUGUCACUCCGAUUGUCGGAGAGGUAUCUCUGGGCCCUCUCAGUAAUGCACAUCACUUAAGCCUUGCAAGCAUUGCAACUAAUGAGUUUGUUGCGAGAUGAUGUAUUACGGAACGAGUAAAGAGACUUGCCGGUAACGAGAUUGAACUAGGUAUUAAGAUACCGACGAUCGAAUCUCGGGCAAGUAACAUACCGAUGACAAAGGGAACAACGUAUGUUGUUAUGCGGUUUGACCGAUAAAGAUCUUCGUAGAAUAUGUGGGAGCUAAUAUGGGCAUCCAGGUCCCGCUAUUGGUUAUUGACCGGAGACGUGUCUCGGUCAUGUCUACAUAGUUCUCGAACCCGUUGGGUCCGCACGCUUAACGUUACGAUGACAGUUUUAUUAUGAGUUUAUGAGUUUUUAUGUACCGAAGGAGUUCGGAGUCCCGGAUGAGAUCGGGGACAUGACGAGGAGUCUCGAAAUGGUCGAGACGUAAAGAUCGAUAUAUUGGACGACUAUAUUCGGACAUCGGAAAGGUUCCGAGUGAUUCGGGUAUUUUUCGGAGUACCGGAGAGUUACGGGAAUUCGUAUUGGGCCUUAAUGGGCCAUACGGGAAAGGAGAGAAAGGCCCCAAAGGGUGGCCGCACCCCUCCCCAUGGACUAGUCCGAAUUGGACUAGGGAGGGGGGGGCGCCCCCUUCCUUCCUUCUCCUUCUCCCUUCCCUUCUCCUACUCCAACAAGGAAAGGAGGAGUCCUACUCCCGCUGGGAGUAGGACUCCCCCCCUUGGCGCGCCCUCCUCCUAGGCCGGCCGCCUCCCCCCUUGCUCCUUUAUAUACGGGUGCAGGGGGCACCCCAUAGACACAACAAUUGAUCUAUUGAUCUCUUAGCCGUGUGCGGUGCCCCCCUCCACCAUAUUACACCUCGAUAUUAUCGUAGCGGUGCUUAGGCGAAGCCCUGCGUCGGUAGAACAUCAUCAUCGUCACCACGCCGUCGUGCUGACGAAACUCUCCCUCAACACUCGGCUGGAUCGGAGUUCGAGGGACGUCAUCGAGCUGAACGUGUGCUGAACUCGGAGGUGCCGUGCGUUCGGUACUUGAUCGGUCGGAUCGUGAAGACGUACGACUACAUCAACCGCAUUGUGUUAACGCUUCCGCUUUCGGUCUACGAGGGUACGUGGACAACACUCUCCCCUCUCGUUGCUAUGCAUCACCAUGAUCUUGCGUGUGCGUAGGAAAUUUUUGAAAUUACUACGUUCCCUAACAGGCUUUGUUCAGCCCUCUCUUGGCGGACUGAAUCUUCUCAGACACCAUACCCAUCAGGAUGCGGUGCUCGUCCAGGACGGAUGCACCUUGAAGUACAUCCGCCAUGGUAUCCGGCGCCUCCGGUUUAGCGAAAGUCGCAGUUCUCGCUGGAGGGGGUCGCUCGUCAGACUUCGGAGCCUUAUGGGUCUCCGGAGUAGUAUUCGGCUGGGGGACGGAUUGAAAGGGGCCCCCGUCCCCGGUCUUCGGAGCGGCCGUACCCCCCAAGCCUUCGGCGGCCGAGGUAUUGCCCUUCGGCGCCGUUACAUUGCCCGCCCGUAUCUCUUCAAGGCCCGGGAAGGGCCUACGGACGACACCUCGGCAUCAUCCGCUUUAGGCGGUGGGGAAGCUAGAGGAGGCGACUCGCUCUCCAUCAUCUCUGGCGGCAGAUCCCCUGAGGAUGAGGAUAGCUGGGGGAGAUUGCGCGCCGGACUAAGAGAUAGAACUUAGAGUUAUUAUCACAUUGCAUAAAGGAUUGAAUGAGUGUGAUAAAUCCCGGACUACUUAUGAGUCGGCCUGGGGCUUAGUCCGGCGACGAUGCUUUGGGAUGACCUCGGCGUCUGACUCCGAGUCAUCGGGGAGGGUAAUUUUGUCCCUCUUGGACACUUCGGCUUUUAGGUCUUCAGAGGCCACCCUCUUCUUGCCCUUGCGGGGAGGAUCUUCUUCUUCCUCCUCCUCUUCGUCGUCCUCGUGAGAGGACUGGGCAUCAACUUCUCCGGACACUGUGUCCAAAGUGCCCUCUUCGUUCUUUCUCUUCUUCUUCUUGUCCCUCUUGGCCGGCGCCUGGUAUGGUGCCAGGACUAGCAUCCUCAUUAGUAAAGGACUGGCCGGGUCUUCGGGAAGUGGAGCCGGACAUCGAAUUUGCUCCGCCUUCUUAGUCCAGACCUGUUUGGGGAGGGACUCCUCAAUACUUCUCUAUUGGGUUAACAAAGUCAAUGGGUGUUCGGAGGUUUAUGAACUUACCUCGGAGGCCGGAUGGUUGCAACUGAUGCCGGUGUCGUCUGAGGAAUUUGGCCACAAUUUCUGCUUCUUAAAAAGCAGCUUCCAGAUCCCCUUGUGUGUUGUGCCGUAGAACCGUUGUAGGGUCCGCGGACCUUCCGGAUUAAACUCCCACAUUUGGAGGGGUCGCCGCUGGCAGGGAAGUACCCGGCGGAUUAGCAUCACUUGGAUUACAUCAGCGAGGGUAAUGUUCUUCUCUAUCAUGCUCUUGACGCGUUUCUGCAAACGCAGCACCUCAGGGACCGACCCCUAGUCCGGACCUUUAUCGGUCCAGGAUGUGAGCCUUAGCGGGGGUCCGGAUCUAAAGGCCAGGGCGGUCGCCCACUUGGAGCCGUGGGGUUCUGUGAUAUAGAAUCAUUCUUGUUGCCAUAUCUUGAUGGUGUCCACAAAUACUCCCUUUGGCCAAUUAACUUUGGGGAGCUUGCUCACCAUGGCUCCACCACAGUCCGCGUGUUGCCCGUCGACCACCUUCGGCUUCACAUUAAAAAUCUUGAGCCAUAGGCCGAAGUGCGGUGGGACACGGAGGAAGGCCUCAUACACGACGAUAAACGCCGAUAUGUGGAGGAAUGAAUUUGGGGCCAGAUCGUGAAAAUCCAGCCCGUAGUAGAACAUGAGGCCCCUUACAAAGGGGUGAAGGGCAAAUCCGAGUCCACGGAGGAAGUGGGGGAUGAACACCACCCUUUCGCGGGGCUCCGGAGUGGGGAUAACCUGCUCCGGGUCGGGAAGCCUGUGCUUGAUUUCUGCGGUUAGGUACCCCGCUUCCCGCAGCUCCUUAAUGUUCUCCUCCGUAACGGAGGAGGCCAUCCACUUGCCUUGAGAGCCGGCCAGGGUCGAAGGAGUUGCGGAAGGGAGGAAGGCUUGAAACUUGAGCGCUGGAGCUUGAGGACGGAUGGGCUGAGGAAGAGGAAGGCGUGGGGUAAAGAGGGGAAACCUUAUCUCUUUAUAAAGGCAGUGAAUAUCAUGCGUCCCCCACGAGCCUUAAAACUCGCCUGUUCCCAAGGGUUCGUGCGAAACUGCGCGGUUGGGUUUCCCAAACCCGUGUUGAUGAGAAUCCCAUAAUAAGGGGCACGAUCUCUGCUUUGACAAGACAUGUCGUCAGUGGUUGCGUGUCGAAAUGCGAAACGGGAGGCCGAAAAACGGUUUAAAAUAAUAAAGUGGACGGACGUAACGUCUCACUAGUAAAACCUUCAAAAGAUAGAACUUAUUUGUAUUCGGCCCCUGUGAUUCAGAGGUAUGACUAUUGUACAGAGUCGGAUAUAGUACUGACGAUCAACUACUUUGAAGUAUUCGGAGGAGGAACCCUCCUUGCAAUGUCGAAGACAAUCUGCGCGCCAAACACAUCGUCAUUGAAGACUGGUUCAGGGGCUACUGAGGGAGUCCAGGAUUACGGGGUCCUUAGACGUCCGGGCUAUGUGACGUGGGCCGGACUGAUGGGCUGUGAAGAUACAAGAUAAAAAGCUUUCCCCCGUGUCCGAAUGGGACUCUCCUUGGCGUGGAAGGCAAGCUUGGCGUGUGAAUAUGAAGAUUCCUUUCUCUGUAAACCGACUCUACACAACCCUAUCCCCCUCCGGUGUCUAUAUAAACCGGAGGGUUUAGUCCGUAGAGGCAAUCAUAAUCAUACACGCUAGACAUCUAGGGUUUAGCCAUUACGAUCUCGUGGUAGAUCGACUCUUGUAACCCCUAUACUCAUCAAAGGCAAUCAAGCAGGAAGUAGGGUAAACAUCGUGUCCCCUGCCUCCUGUUUCCUUCGAUCCUUAGACGCACAGUUCGGGACCCCCUACCCGAGAUAUGCCAGUUUUGACACCGACAGUCACCAAAUCACAUAACUCAUAUAAUACAAAAUCGUCAUUGAACGUUAAGCGUGUGGACCCUACGGGUUCGAGAACUAUGUAGACAUGACCGAGACACCUCUUCGAUCAAUAACCAAUAGCGGAACCUGGAUGCUCAUAUUGGUUCCUGCAUAUUCUACGAAGAUCUUUGUCGGUCAAACCGUAAUGACAACAUAGGUUAUUCCCUUUGUCAUCGGUAUGUUACUUGCCCAAGAUUCGAUCGUCGGUAUCUUCAUACCUAGUUCAAUCUUGUUAUCAGCAAGUCUCUUUACUCGUUCCGUGAUGCAUCAUCCCGCAACUAACUCAUUAUUCACAUUGCUUGCAAGGCUUAUGAUGAUGUGCAUUACCGAGAAGGCCCAGAGAUACCUCUCCGAUACUCGGAGUGACAAAUCCUAAUCUUUAUCUAUGCCAACCCAACAAACACCUUCGGAGAUACCUGUAGAGCAUCUUUAUAAUCACCCAGUUACGUUGUGACGUUUGAUAGCACACAAGGUAUUCCUCCGAUAUCCGGAAGUUGCAUAAUCUCAUAGUCAAAAGAAUAUGUAUAUGACAUGAAAAAGCAAUAGCAAUAAAACUGAACGAUCAACAUGCUAAGCUAACGGCUGGGUCUUGUCCAUCACGUCAUUCUUUUAAUGAUGUGAUCUCGUUCAUCAAAUGACAACACAUGUCUAUGGUUAGGAAACUUAACCAUCUUUGAUUAACACUACUAGGAAAAACACUACCAGUAGCAUGGUUUUUUUGCAUACCAGUAGCAUGGGUUCUCGCGCUACUGCUAUGGCGCUACAGCUAAUUUUUAGCAGUAGCACGUUUUUUACCCCACGCUACAGCUAAAAAGUUAGUAGUAGCGCGUGUGCACCCGCGCUACUACUAACCUAAAACCCACGCUAGUACUAACCUAACUACUAGUAGCCCUCACUUUUGACCCACGCUACUACUAACAAUUUAGGAAUUAAAAAAAAUAAAAAUUAGAUGUAGUACUCAUGAAUGGUAAUACGUCCAUCAUUUUAAGGUGGGUACCUUCCCUAGUGGCCACCAACCUAAACAGACCACCUCUCUAGAUGUAUCUACAAGGCUAGGAGUUCAGACGCCGCUGGACACGAAUCCUCCCUCUCGCGGACGGUGGCGUCGAGGUCCUCCACAUCAGCGACUUCCGGCGUCGAAAUCACCUGGACGAUCAUCUGUGCGACGUGGCCACCGGGCUUCACGGCGAAGUCCGCCUCUGAGUGGUUGAAGAGCACAGCGCCACCGGGCCACGCUUGUCAGCGUCGAUCACCUCUGCGCCCACGUCGGGAAAGUGAAAACUUGUUAGUACGCAAAUUGCAGCAGUUCAACGAAAUAGUACUAUUAACAGUGUGCUGCAAGAAUAAGAAAGCUAACAUUAACAGUCAAACAUCACUUUGGUUGUUAAAAAUAUCAUUCAUUCAUCAUAUAACAUUAUUUUUUGUUGUCAAAUCCUGUACACCAAAUUCACAUUUACAAGAAGUCAACUUCUCAUUUCUAAAUGGCUGAAAAGUGAUCUAUUUGGUAACAACAAAUGCCAGCAGUCAAAUUCAUAUUGGCAAAGAUCGGACCAUAAGAAUCUAAGACAAACAUACAAGCACUGAAGUAUAUGGGGCUUCCUUCAAAAGUUCAGUCAACCCUUCAUAUGAAUCCGACCAAAUCUAAUAACAUAAAAGGUUUUGAGUAGAGAAGGCACCUUUGGGAAUGAUAACUUUGGUGGAGCUUCGACAACUUCACCAAAUUUAACCUUUUUACGUCCAGGGAAUUCAAGAUGAGUCUCGACCUUACCAGCCUUGCACUUCUUUUUCUUCUCGUCCAGAUGUCUGAAACCAAUGAUACAACAUACUUUGUUAUCAUACAUUGCCAUGAGUGAAUGUGGAAGUUCUCUUAGAAUAUUUUGUCCUAGUUCAAAAAUAAAAGCUGAAGCAAGAUACAUGGUUUAUUCUUUACACGAGGCAACAUUGGAUCCAAAUGAAUUGAUGCAAAAGCUACACAAUUAGAGUCAAGCAAACCAAGACAGAUCAAAUGGUUAGACAACUUACUUCACUUUCUGCUUCUUCGAAACCAAGACAUUCGCCUCGAGUUCCUUGAAAAAUAUUCUCAAUAGGAUUUCAAAAACCGCCGUCGAAUACACCAAGAUACUCUAUAACAGAAUUACUAAUAACAGCUAUAGAAUCGUACAAUAUAUUAUAUGUACAAAAUAGACACUCCAAGAUACCAUGUCAAAAAAAUGGCAGGGUCAAAGUUCCAUGACAUAUAGAACAUCCACAAAGUACAUUUUCUUUAAAGUCAUUCUUUUCUACAGCCCAUAAAAGCUGUCACUCAAGGAGCGACAUGUUUUUUAUUACAAAAAUUCACCACAUUCUGAUGAACAUGGAAAAGCAAGCUAGAGUUAGCAGACCAAAAUUAAGGUUCAAAAUGUAAUGCUACAGAUAUCCAAUAUUCACAACUAGUACUUUCAGGCGGCGUGUCAAAUCACCCUGUACAACAAUCAUUAGGCAGAUCGCACCAUCUUCUUCAAGUGGAAAGUGUCAACAGACCAUAAGAAGAUUAACAAACAAAAUGCAAAGAGAUGCUCUUACCCUUUUAGGUAUUGAUGUAGUUCCAGCUAGCAUACUCAGUCCUGAUGCUGAUAUGGCUGUAGACGAACGGACAACCUAUACAAAAUUAAAAUAUUAGACGCAAUAGACCAGGCCAAAUGUGUUGUAAAAAUAUUAAAAUAAAACUGACCUUAGGUGGAUCUGCUCUAAGGUGAUUGAGCUACAGGAGACACGGGUUCCGAACCUGACGGCAAAGAAGCGGUCUGUAGUAAGAAAGAGAAAAAGGUCAGCCUGUGAAGAUCAAAACUACAUUGAAACUGGAAAAAGGGGUGAAUGAAGUUACCCUGGUAAUUCCUUCUGAAGACUCGAUUGCAGGGAGAGGAGUUGAUGCUGUGACCUGAAAAAUGAUUUUGUUUACGAGAUUAGGAUUCACAGAGAACAUGACAUUCGAACCAACAGGCCUCAUGCCAUAGACGCAUCAUGAUAAUAGCCACAAUAAAGCAAGCACACUAUAGCGAAUAAGGUACGAGAUAUUCUCCGAACAUGCCUUAAGAGUAUCGGCUUUGGACUCCGAUCCAAUCUUUUACUGAACUCACAUAACUCAUGUAUUACUCGUGUUGUGUGAUCCUAAGAUAUUUCAGUCAAAAGGGUUAGCAACACAUAAUCUCUAUAGAAAAACAAACUGUGGGCUAGGAAUUUCUACUUACUUGAGUAUAUGCAAGGCGUCCAAGCUUUGUUUCCUGCAAAACAGUAAGAGAUUUAGUUUGUACUUACUACUAGAAGUCCUACUCUAAGGGGAAGAGAUUAUAUUGAACACAAAAAUAGAAGUGUGUGCAGUGCAAGCCUGAAAGGUAUUACUCCACUACUUACCAGAGUGCGGACAACAUGGUGAACUGAUUGUAUUUCCUCCUGAAAGGCACUUAGAUCUCCAUGUAUAACUGUAACUUGUGAAAUACGUAUUAUUUUUGCAUCAGCAUCUUUUAAAAUACACUAAUGCCUGGAAACAAUAAAUAUGCGGACAACAUGGAAACCGAGAGAGAGGGAGAGGGAGGAGACCUUGAGAUGGUCCAUCCAUGGAGGCGGCGGUGGGGUCGGAGCUCCAUGGAGGGGGAGUCCCGAGAAGAGGUACGCGGGGGAGGUUGCAUGGUGGCGACCCCGUCAAUCCUCGUCUCCCUGCAGCGGCGGCGGCGGUGGUUGCGGAGAAGGAGCGCGGCGUCCCGAGAAGAAGUAGACGGGGUGAGCUCGAUGGUGGCUGCCCCGUCAAUCACCUCCUCCCUGCGGCGACGGUGGUUGUGGGGAAGGAGCUGACCUUGGCGGCCCAGCUCGACGGCGGCGCGGAUCCAGGAGCCCCCGAUGUGGCCGCCGCCAGGGAGAGAAGGAGGGGGGAGAGGAUGGGGGCGUCGGCGUCGGCGGUGGGUGCGGCUGUGGAUGAGAGAUCGCCGUCCGCGGUGGGUGGGUGGCCCGCGGUGGAGGGGAUCUGGAUCGGGGUUUGGGUGAUUUUAUUUUUUAUUUUUUUGAGAUAAACGGGGGCGCGGGUGGACGGUGGGGGUGGGACAGUUGGUGGGGUGGGGGCGGGCAUAUACUAGUAGCGCGGUGGUCUCACCUGCGCUACAGCUAUCCACAUAGUAGUAGCGCAGGUUUUAGAACCCGCGCUAUUACUAUGGUCUCUUUGGAGGCACGGUUAGAGAUAUUUACUAGUAGCGUGUUUUUGGCAACGCGCUAGUAGUAAGUAGCAGUAGCGCGGGGCAAUAUAGCGCGCUACUAGUAAGCGUCUGUCUAUAAGUUUUUCCCUAGUAGAGGCUUACUAGGAACACGGUGUUUUAUCUAUGUAUCCACACAUGUUCAAAUUUCCGGUUAAUACAAUUCUAGCAUGAAUAAUAAACAUUUAUCAUGAUACGAGGAAAUAUAAAAUAACAACUUUAUUAUUGCCUCUAGGGCAUAUUUCCUUCAGUGUCGGGGGUGUCGUGCGACAUAUGCCAAAGGAUGGCUUAUCAUGGUGGGGGACAAAAGUACGUCGCCGGUGCCUGGAAACGGGAUGAGGCAUAAACAUGUAUGCCGACGCAUCUUACCCAGGUUCGGGGCUCUCCUAGGAGAUAGCACCCCUAGUCCUGCUCUGCGUGGUCUCCGCAUGAUCAAUAUGUCAACAAGGUGGCUACUAAUACGUCUCCAACGUAUCUACUUUUCCAAACACUUUUGCCCUUGUUUUGGACUCUAACUUCCAUGAUUUGAUCAGAACUAACCCGGGCUGACGCUAUUUUCAGCAGAGUUGCCAUGGUGUUAUUUUUGUGCAGAAAUAAAAGUUCUCGGAAUGACAUGAAACUUCACGGAGAAUAUUUUUGGAAUAUAUAAAAAAUACUGGCAAAAGAAUCAGCACCAGGGGGCCCACACCCUGUCCACGAGGGUGGAGGGCGCGUCCAUCCCCCGGGGCGCGCCCCCUGCCUCGUGGGCCCCCGAGGCUCCACCGACCUCAACUCCAACUCUAUAUAUUCACGUUCGAGGAGAAAAAAAAUCAAAGAGAAGGAUUCAUCGCGUUUUACGACACAGAGCCGCCGCCAAGCCCUAAUCUCUCUCGGGAGGGCUGAUCUGGAGUCCGUUCGGGGCUCCGGAGAGGGGAGUCCAUCGUCGUCGUCAUCAUCAACCUUCCUUCAUCACCAAUAUCAUGAUGCGCACCGCCGUGCGUGAGUAAUUCCAUCAUAGGCUUGCUGGACGGUGAUGGGUUGGAUGAGAUUUAUCGUGUAAUCGAGUUAGUUUUGUUAGGGUUUGAUCCCUAGUAUCCAUUAUGUUCUGAGAUUGAUGUUGCUAUGACUUUGCUAUGCUUAAUGCUUGUCACUAGGGCCCGAGUGCCAUGAUUUCAGAUCUGAACCUAUUAUGUUUUCAUGAAUAUAUGUGAGUUCUUGAUCCUAUCUUGCAAGUCAAUAGUCACCUACUAUGUGUUAUGAUCCGGUAACCCCGAAGUGACAAUAAUCGGGACCACUCCUGAUGAUAAUCGUAGUUUGAGGAGUUCAUGUAUUCACUAAGUGUUAAUGCUUUGGUCCAGUACUCUAUUAAAAGGAGGCCUUAAUAUCCCUUAGUUUCCAAUAGGACCCCGCAACCAUGGGAGGGUAGGACAAAAGAUGUCAUGCAAGUUCUUUUCCAUAAGCACGUAUGACUAUAUUCGGAAUACAUGCCUACAUUACAUUGAUGAAUUGGAGCUAGUUCUGUGUCACCCUAUGUUAUAACUGUUGUAUGAGGAAUCGCAUCUGACAUAAUUAUCCAUCACUGAUCCAAUGCCUACGAGCUUUUCACAUAUUGAUCUUUGCUUAGUUACUUUGCCGUUGCCACUGUUAUAAUUACUACAAAGCUGCUACUGUUACCUUUGCCACUGUUACCUUUACUUCCAUACUACUUUGCUAAUAAAUACUUUGCUGCAGAUAUUAAGUUUUCCAGGUGUGGUUGAAUUGACAACUCAAAUGCUAAUACUUGAGAAUAUUCUUUGGCUCCCCUUGUGUCGAAUCAAUAAAUUUGGGUUGAAUACUCUACCCUCGAAAACUGUUGUGAUCCCCUAUACUUGUGGGUUAUCAAGACUAUUUUCAGGCGCCGUUGCCGGGGAGCAUAGCUCUAUUCUUUGAGUCACUUUGGAUUUAUAUCGAUUGAUCACAAUGAGGAACUUGAAAGAUGAAAAAACCAAGAUUUAUCCCUCAACUACGAGGGGAGGUAAAAAUCUGCCAUCUAGCUUUGCACUUGAUUCACCUUCUGUUAUGAGUAAACUUGCGACACCUACUCCUGCUAUUGAUUCUGAUAUGUCGCAUGUUAUUGAUGAUGCCACUUCUGCUUUGCAUGAUACUUAUGAUGAAACUACUUCUAUGCUUGAUAAUACUGUGCCACUAGGUGAAUUUCUUGAUGAACAACUUGCUAGGGUUAGAGAGAAUGAAAUUAUUGAGACUAAUAAUACUGAUGAAAGUGAUGAUGAAGAUUCUCCCCCUAGAUAUGAAUUACCUGAUGUGCCUGUGGGUUAUGUUAUGGAUGAAGAAACUGCUAGACUUUUUUGCUUGCAAAGAUAGAUAUGAUCUUAAGAAACUGUUAGCUAAGAUGAAAGAAAAGUCUUUAAACGCUAGAAUGAAAUAUGACCCUGCUUUUGCUACUUCACCUAUCUGUAUUUCUGAUAAGGAUUAUGAUUUCUCUAUCGACCCUGAGUUAAUUACUUUGGUUGAAUCUGAUCCUUUUUAUGGCUAUGAAUCUGAAACUUUUGUGGCACAUCUUACUAAAUUGAAUGAUAUAGCCACCCUAUUUACUAAUGAGGAAAAAAUUUGUUACUACUAUAUCCUUAAGUUAUUUCCGUUCUCAUUAAAGGGUGAUGCUAAAGCAUGGUUUAAUUCUCUUGAUCCUGGUUGUGUGCGUAGUCCCCAGAAUAUGAUUUAUUACUUCUCUGCUAAAUAUUUCCCCACUCAUAAGAAACAAGCUGCCUUAAGGGAAAUAUAUAAUUUUGUGCAAAUUGAAGAAGAGAUUCUCCCACAAGCUUGGGGGAGGCUUCUCUGAUUACUUAAUGCUUUGCCUGAUCAUCCUCUCAAGAAAAAUGAAAUACUUGAUAUCUUUUAUAAUGGACUAACCGACGCUUCCAGAGACCACCUGGAUAGUUGUGCUAGUUGUGUUUUCAGGGAAAGAACUGUGGAUCAAGCUGAAUUGCUAUUAAAUAAUAUGUUGAGUAAUGAUAAUAAAUGGACACUUCCUGAACCAACUCCUAAACCAACUCCGAAGAAAAGGGGUAUUCUAUUUCUCAGUCCUGAAGAUAUGCAAGAGGCAAAGAAAUCUAUGAAAGAAAAAGGUAUUAAAGCUGAAGAUGUUAAGAAUUUACCACCUAUUGAAGAAAUGCAUGGUCUUGAUAACCCGACACAGGUAGUAAAGGUAAAUUCUCUCCAUAGAUUUGAUGAAGGUGAUAUUCCUUGUUAUAAGUCUGCUAGCCAAUGCUUGGGUGAGUUUGAUAAUUUUAUUGUUAAACAAGAAAAUUUCAAUGCUUAUGUUGGUAGACAAUUGAAACGUAAUGCUUAUAUGAUUGAACACAUGAGUGAUUAUAUGUCUAGAGUUAAAGGUGAACUUAAACUUAUUAGUAAACAUGCUUCUAUGGUUACCACUCAAGUAGAACAAGUGCUUAAAGCUCAGAAUGAUUUGCUCAAUGAAUUAAAUAAUAAGAAAAGUGAUAAUGUUGUUAGAGUUAUGACUAGAGGGGGUAAAAUGACUCAGGAACCUUUGUAUCCUAAGGGCCACCCUAAGAGAGUCGAGUAAGAUUCUCAUAGAACUAAUGUUGAUGCACCUAGUUCUUCUAAGAAGAAGAAAAAGAAAAAGAAAAAUGAUAGGACUUUGCAUGCUUCUAGUGAACCUGUUGCUGACACACCUGAGAAUCCCAAUGAUAUUUCUAGUUCUGAUGCUGAAACACAACUUGGUAAUGAACAUGAACCUAGUGAUAUAUUAAUGAUGAUGCUCAACCUAGCAAUAACAAUGAUGUAGAGAUUGAACCUGCUGUUGAUCUUGAUAACCCACAAUCAAAGAAUCAACGUUAUGAUAAGAGAGACUUCGUUGCUAGGAAGCACGGUAAAGAAAGAGAACCAUGGGUUCAGAAACCCAUGCCUUUUCCUCCUAAACCAUCCAAGAAAAAGGAUGACGAGGAUUUUGAGCGCUUUGCUGAAAUGAUUAGACCUAUCUUUUUGCGUAUGCGUUUGACUGAUAUGCUUAAAAUGAAUCCUUAUGCUAAGUACAUGAAAGAUAUUGUUACAAAUAAAGAAAAGAUACCGAAAGCUGAAAUUUCCACCAUGCUUGCUAAUUAUACUUUUAAGGGUGGAAUACCAAAGAAACUUGGAGAUCCAGGAGUACUAACUAUACCAUGCUCCAUUAAAAGAAACUAUGUUAAAACUGCUUUAUGUGAUCUUGGAGCCGGUGUUAGUGUUAUGCCUCUCUCUUUAUAUCGUAGACUUGAUUUGAAUAAGUUGACACCUACUGAAAUAUCUUUGCAAAUGGCCGAUAAAUCAACUGCUAUACCUGUCGGUAUUUGUGAGGAUGUGCCUGUUGUGGUUGCAAACGUUACUAUCUUAACGGACUUUGUUAUUCUUGAUAUUCCCGAGGACGAUAGUAUGUCGAUUAUCCUUGGUAGACCCUUUUUCAAUACUGCAGGGGAUGUUAUUGAUUGCAACAAAGGCAAUGUCACUUUUCCUGUUAAUGGUAAUGAGCAUACAGUACACUUUCCGAGGAAACAACCUCAAGUCCAUAGUAUCAAUUUUAUUGGAAAAUUUUCAACGAUUAUUAUUGGAGGUUUUGAAUUUCCUCUUCCUAUUGUCAAGAAGAAAUAUGAUAUUCUUAUUAUUGGGGACGUGCAUAUCCCCGUUGAGGUAACUUAGUGUUAUUCGAAAAUUCUCCAGUUUCAUGCAAUUCGUAAAGAGUUUGUUAACAAGACUUGAUCAACCUUGUUAGUGGAUUCCUUUUGAUGAGCACAAGAUGGAUGAAGUUAGAAAACACGACUCUUUGUACCCUCCUUCUACUUUCUGUUACUUAGAUUAAAUAAAGCAAGAAUAGUAUUUUCUGUCUGUUUUCUGAAUUAUCCUUGCAAUAAAAAAAUACCGCGAAAAUAAAAGUUCUCCAAAUGUCCCGAAAAUGAAAUAUGAUUUUUUGUAGAAUAUUUAAGAAUAUCUGGCACUGAGAGCACACCAGGGGGAGCCACCACCUGGCCACGAGGGUCCAGGGCGCACCCCCUACCUCGUGGGCCCCAUGUGGCCCCCCUCCACUUAUUCUAGCACCCACACACUUCUUCUUCCUCCAGAAAAAAUCAUCCCCUAGCUCAAACCCGUGUUCUAGCUCAUCUUGUUGCGAUUUUCGAUCUCCUUGCUCAAAGCUCCAUUCACAAAACUGCUUUGGGGGAUUGUUCUUCGGUAUGUGGCUCCUCCAAUGGUCCAAUUAGUUUUUGUUCUGGUGCUUUAGUUAUUGCAAAUUUUUGCCACUUAGGUGACCCUGUUCUUGAGCUUGCAUGUCAAAUUUAUUUGGUCCAAAGUAGUUUUAAUGCAUGAUAUAGUCUCUAGGCACUUGUGGGAGUAGUUGUUUUUAAUCUUGUUGAGUUUGGUUCACUUUUAUUUUGGGUUACUAAAAAUUUCAGAAUUUUUUUAGAGGAAGAAAUAUGUUUAGGAAAAUGUACGAAGGUGGUUCCUCAAGAAAGCAGGUACCUAGGCUCGCGAUACGUGAGCCGGACUAUGAACUACCAAGGGAAGCUCAAGUGCGGCCUUGUGAAUGGCCAUCAGAGGAGUUUAUGGUCGGAGCAGGUAUCAAGGAUGAAUUUGACGCGUAUGUGCGUAAUGCUGACCUUGAAGGCUUCGUGUCAGAUAAGUGCCCGCAAUACCGUUACCUAACUGAUUCCUUUGUGAGAAGGUUUAAAUUUACAUCCUCGCGCAAUUCUCACAUUGUUCUAUUUGAUCUUUAUGAUAAAUCAUAUACUAUGGACCUAGAAGAUUUUAAUGUUGCUUGUAAACUCCCGCAGUGGGGCAAUGUUAGUGAACCGCGUAAAUCUGAAUAUAAAGAUUUUCUUGCUAGUAUCACUGUGGGGGAAUCUAGAGAAAUCACACAAGCUACCAUAGGGAGCAUUCAUUUUCCUGCCAUACAUUAUUUUGCUCUCUUCGUGGGUAGAUGCAUUAACGGUAAAGAUGAGGCUUGCCACAUGUGCGUUCCAGAUCUUAGUGUCCUCAAGAGUGCGGUAUUAGGUUAUAAACAAUAUAACUCGGGGGCCAUCGUUGCACGAAGAUUGCAACUUAAUAGUUUAAGUGGAGACUUAUUUGGUGGAAUUUAUGCAACCCGUGUAGCUAAUUAUCUUGAGAUACCCAUACAUGAAAAUGAUAUGGAAUUGCCUCCUGCUUAUCUAGAUUAUAAUGCUAUGGUUCGUCAUCAGUUUGUUGAGAGGAAUGAACAAUUCCUCCAAUACCGACUAAUUUUUGACAGAUGUCGCACUGUCCAUGUUGCUCUCCCUGCUCCUACUUUCUUUGACUUUUAGGCAAAAAGGAGAUAUGUUAUAACCAGGGAGGAGGCGAACGAGUAUGAGAGGAGGACGGAGGCAGCUUGCCUCCAAGCUGUAGCUCGUCAGGCAAUAGCCGUUGCAUCUCAGUACGACCCAAGUUACAACUUCGGAUAUCCGCCAGGCCAGCCGUGGCCAUAGACCAACUUAGGCCAAAAGCCUAAGCUUGGGGGAGUACGUAUUUCUCACCGACAUUGCAUUCAUGUUCACACACUCAUGCCAGUUGUCGGUGCUCAUACUUUUUCAUUGUACUAUCCAUGCUAGUUUAUUUUGUUUUUAAGUUUUCUUCUUGUGUGUUUGAAAAACCUUAAGAAAAAACCAAAAAAUUAGUUAUAGCUUUUAGCUAGUUUACUUUCCAUGCCUGUAGUAGUAUAAUUAAAAGAAAACCCAAAAAGAUUUCUCGUUCUUCUUUUGCUUGUUGGAAGCUUUCCCGUGUAAAUAGUUUUAUUUCUUUUCUUUGGGGGUCGAGAGGAGAAGACCAUGAUGAAAAUGUUAAGUGGCUCUUAUAUGCAUUAUUGUUGAUUUAACAAAGAUCCCAUGUUACCUUGUCUUCUCCCGUGUAUUAAAUGCUUGCAGAUUCUAGCUUAAUCCAAUUGCACGUGCACUAUUAUUAUUAUCCACACCGUUCGGUCGUGCAAGUGAAAGGCAAUAAUGACGAUAUAUGAUGGACUGAUUGAGAUGAGAAAAGCUGGUAUGAACUCGACCAUCUUGUUUUUAUAAAUAUGAUUAGUUCAUCAUUCCUGAUUCAGCCUAUUAUGAAUGAAACAUGUUUGCAAUGACAAUUAGAGAUUAUAGUUGCUCAUUCCAUGCUUAAUUAGCUCGGAGUUUAUAAUGUUUUACCUUGCGUGCGAACAUGCUAUUAAAAUGGUUGUGAUGUGGUAUGAUAGGGUGGUAUCCUCCUUUGAACGAUUCGAGUGGCUUGACUUGGCACAUGUUCACGCAUGUAGUUGAAACAAAAUCAACAUAGCCUCAACGAUAUUUAUGUUCAUGGUGAAUUAUAUCCUACUCAUGCUUGAAUUCAGUGUUGAUUAAUUUUAAUGCAUGUUCAUGGCUGUUGUCGCUCUCUAGUUGGUCGCUUCCUAGUCUCUUUCUAGCCUUCACUUGUACUAAGCGGGAAUACUGCUUGUGCAUCCACUUCCAUAAACCCCAAAGUUAUUCCAUAUGAGUCCACCAUACCUUCCUAUAUGCGGUAUCUACCUGCCGUUCCAAGUAAAUUUGUAUGUGCCAAACUCUAAACCUUCAAAUGAAAUUCUGUUUUGUAUGCUCGAAUAGCUCAUGUACCAACUAGGGAUGUCUGUAUCUUCCAUGCUAGGUGGGUUAUUCUCACGAGGAGUGGACUCCGCUCCUCACUCACGAGAAAAUGGUCGGUCACCGGGAUGCCCAGUCCCAUGCUCAAAUCAAAUCAAAAUAAUUGCAAACAAAACUCCCCCAGGACUGUUGUUAGUUGGAGGCACCCGUUGUUUCGGGCAAACCAUGGAUUGAUGCUUGUUGGUGGUGGGGGAGUAUACACUUUACCAUUCUGUUUGGGAACCGCCAAUAAUGUGUGUAGCAUGGAAGAUAUCGAGAUCUCUUGGUUGUUAUGUUGACAAUGAAAGUAUGCCACUCAAAAUAUUAUUUAUCUCUGUUUCAAAACUUGAGCUCUGGCACCUAUACAAAUCCCUGCUUCCCUCUGCGAAGGGCAUAUCUAUUUACUUUUAUGUUGAGUCAUCACCCUCUUAUUAAAAAGCACCAGUUGGAGAGCACCGCUAUCAUUUGCAUGCAUUACUAUUAGUUUACAUUGAGUAUGACUAUGACUGGAUCUCUUUUACCAUGAAUUACAAUGUUUAGCCAGUCCUUGAUCUUCAGAGGUGCUCUGCAUUUAUGUUUUGCGAUCUCAGAAAGGGCUAGCGAGAUACCAUCUUGUUAUAUCAUAUUAUGAUUGUUUUGAGAAAGUGUUGUCAUCCGAGAUUUAUUAUUAUUGCUCGCUAGUUGAUUGUGCCAUUGAUAUGAGUAAACAUGAGACCUAAGUGUUAUUGUGAAUAUGGUUGGUUCAUAAUCUUUGCUGAAAACUUGAAUGCUGGCUUUACAUAUUUACAACAACAAGAGCAAAUAGAGUUUGUAAAAGUUUUUCUUUAUCACUUUCAGUUUGUCAACUGAAUUGCUUGAGGACAAGCAAAGGUUUAAGCUUGGGGGAGUUGAUACGUCUCCAACGUAUCUACUUUUCCAAACACUUUUGCCCUUGUUUUGGACUCUAACUUGCAUGAUUUGAAUGGAACUAAUCUGGACUGACGCUGUUUUCAACAGAAUUGCUAUGGUGUUAUUUUUGUGCAGAAAUAAAAGUUCUCGGAAUGACCUGAAACUUCACGGAGAAUAUUUUUGGAAUAUAUAAAAAAUACUAGCGAAAGAAUCAACACCAGGGGGCCCACACCCUGUCCACGAGGGUGGAGGGCGCGCCCACCCACUAGAGCGCGCCCCCUGCCUCGUGGGCCCCCUGAGGCUCCACCGACCUCAACUCCAACUCUAUAUAUUCACGUUUGGGGAGAAAAAAAUUGGAGAGAAAGAUUCAUCGCGUUUUACGAUACGGAGCUGCCGCCAAGCCCUAAUCUCUCUCGGGAGGGCUGAUCUAGAGUCCGUUCGGGGCUCCGGAGAGGGGAAUCCGUCGCUGUCAUCAUCAUCAACCUUCAUCACCAAUUUCAUGAUGCUCACCGCCGUGCGUGAGUAAUUCCAUCGUAGGCUUGCUGGACGGUGAUGGGUUGGAUGAGAUUUAUCAUGUAAUCAAGUUAGUUUUGUUAGGGUUUGAUCCCUAGUAUCCAUUAUGUUCUGAGAUUGAUGUUGCUAUGACUUUGCUAUGCUUAAUGCUUGUCACUAGGGCCCGAGUGCCAUGAUUUCAGAUCUGAACCUAUUAUGUUUUCAUGAAUAUAUGUGAGUUCUUGAUCCUAUCUUGCAAGUCAAUAUUCACCUACUAUGUGUUAUGAUCCGGUAACCCCGAAGUGACAAUAAUCGGGACCACUCCCGGUGAUGACCAUAGUUUGAGGAGUUCCUGUAUUCACUAAGUGUUAAUGCUUUGGUCCGGUACUCUAUUAAAAGGAGGCCUUAAUAUCCCUUAGUUUCCAAGAGGACCCCGCUGCCAUGGGAGGGUAGGAAAAAAGAUGUCAUGCAAGUUCUUUUCCAUAAGCACGUAUGACUAUAUUCGGAAUACAUGCCUACAUUACAUUGAUGAACUGGAACUAGUUCCGUGUCACCCUAUGUUAUAACUAUUGCAUGAGGAAUCGCAUCCGACAUAAUUAUCCAUCACUGGUCCAAUGCCUACGAGCUUUUCACAUAUUGAUCUUUGCUUAGUUACUUUGCCGUUGUCACUGUUACAAUUACUACAAAGCUGCUACUGUUACCUUUGCCACCGUUACCGUUACUUCCAUACUACUUUGCUACAAAUAUUAAGUUUUCCAGGUGUGUUUGAAUUGACAACUCAACUGCUAAUACUUGAGAAUAUUCUUUGGCUCCCCUUGUGUCGAAUCAAUAAAUUUGGGUUGAAUACUCUACCCUCAAAAACUGUUGCGAUCCCCUAUACUUGUGGGUUAUCUGCUGCAAGCUUGCUCCUUGAGCUGUUUUGGCUAGAGGAGGAAGAAGAACAAGGCUAGCCCUUACUCCACUCUCUCUAUGUGGUAUGUGUGUGCUGAGGUUCUGAACCCUUUGCAUGGGUGGCCUGGGGGGUUUAUAUAGGCCUACCCUCAGGGAUACAAUGGUAAUCCGGCCGGGUGUAGGACCCGGCUGUCAGUGUCUCUGGUUGCCGACUUCUCUGCCGGCUGCUGGGGCCCGCCGCCUGGUGGGUCCCGCCGGCUGUCUCGUACUUGGCCGACGGGCCGCGCCCGCCGCUUGCGGGUACUGCCAACUGCUUAGUAUGGCUGCGCCACUAAUGAUGCAUGCUUUGUCGGGGAGAGCGUGGCUACAGUCCGCCGCCUGUCGGGCGUUCACUGUAGCCACUCCCCGUCUCUUCUGAUGAAUGGCGCACAGACUUUGAGGGAGGGGGAGGGCCACCUACUAUGAGUUGGCCUCCCCUAUGCCGACUGGUCAGGGCUUGCUGCCUUCUGGCUUCUCACGGACAGGUAGGGCCCGCCGCUUGCGGGCCGUAUCGACAACCCGUAGUGGGAGUGUGGCCUCUUCUGCCAUGGAUGAUGUCACGGGUUGCGUGGCAACAGUGCUGCUCCGGGCGAGGGAUGUCCGCCCAGUACGCUGCACUGUGGCCAUGCUCUGCCCUGGAUUCGGGGGUGGCAGGAUACACUGUAGCCACGCCCCGUCUCAUCGUUGUAAUGAGGUGCUAACUUCGAGGGAGGGAGGGACCGCCUGCUAGGAGCCGGCCUCCCUGGAGGCCGCCUGCUAGGAGUCGGCCCACCUCAUGGCCGCCCUCUGGGCUCCACCACCUUCUAGCAGCCGGUUGCUUGGACCAGCCGGCCCUGAGGAGGCGGCUCUUUGUCUCUAAGGCUUGAGGGGCGCAGCCGGCCCCGAUGUCUUGAAAUACCAUGGGGAGCAGAUGAGGCUACCCAUGGUCAUUUACUCCGACAGUAGUCCACGAAGCUGGUGGGGCGCCGUGGCUGAAAUGACGAGAAGCCUCAGCAGCUUCCUACUCCGAGUGGUCUUGGUUGUUUUGCUUCGUCCGUCUUCUGAAGUGACGACUGCUAGGAGCCGACCGUGACCAGGCAGGCCGCCUGGUGAUUUCAAAAUGUCGUGGUGGGGGCCAGGUGGCACGCCAGCCAGAUGCCAGACUUGCCGCCUGUUGCCUGCCUGCCACGCGGCACCAGCAGGCCAGGCCGGCCUACCAGCCCACGCGCGCGAUGGGGCGUCGCCGCAGGCCGGGGCCCGCCACUACAGGGCCUCGGCACGUGCGCGGAUCCGCUGCGGCCGAGGCAGACGGUUGGGCUUCUGCAGUAGUUAAUACACACCUUUUGGGCGUGGUAAUCGUGGGAUCAUGGGGGAGUGGGUGCAGUUUAUCCCACGACCCCCAUGUUCUCGCCCCUCGGCUCCGCCGCCCGGGGCUAUAAUAUGGGGGGAGGGGGCGGCAGACCCACGCGCGCCCUCCUCUCCCUUCGCCAUUCUUCUUCCUCUCCUCUCUGAUGCCGCAGUGCCCCUUCCUCUUGCCGAAGCGCUGCUGCAGCCCACCAUCGCCGUGCUUCUCCCCACCACGGCCUUCUUGCUCUGCUGCGGUCUCGCCGCUCGUCGCCGCACCGCACCUCCGAUGAGCACCCAAGCUGUAUGGCGUGGGCACGGGCCGGGGACUGGGAUGGCUCCAACGUCCACGACUAUCACCUCUCCUCUCUUCAUCAGACGCGGCGGCUGCCCCGGGAGACAAACGUGAAGGUGCGUGUCCCCCCCGAGGCAGAAAUCUCGCUGGUGCCGGAGGACGACGAACGCGUCGUCUUCCCGUCUCAUUUUCUUCGCGGCUUCGGCCUUCCGGCGAGCGGCUUCCUGCGCUCCUUCCUCAAGUUCUAUCGUGUUCAGCCGCACCACCUCACACCAAACACGGUGGUGCUGCUGGCCGCCUUCUUCACUCUGUCCGAAGGCUAUCUUGGUACUCUCCCCACCCUCGAACUCUGGGGAGAGUGCUUCUACCUCAAGCUCGGCACCGCCGCCAAGGGCCAGGUGGCUCAGUGCGGAGCCUACGUGGCGGUGCGGCGUCCGGGUGCCGGGAACCGCUUCCCGCCCAUCUCCCUGCUGCAGUCAGCCAAGCUGUGGCAGAAGUCCUACUUCUACGUCAAGAAUAUUCAUCCGACGAGGGACUACAUCAACCUGCCGGCUUAUGUAGCCGGCCCGCCUGCAGAGCCGCGCGCCAACUGGCAGUACAAGCCGAGCUCCUUAUCGGCCUCCUCCUCCGCCGCCCUCGCCCGACUUCAGGUGAAGACGGAGUCGGAGGGCCUCAAGGGCUCGGACCUGCUGGCCGCCUAUGUGGCGCGCCGAGUGUUCCCCCUCCAAGCCCGGCCCCACAUCAUUAGCAAUAUGAGUGGGCACCGGGACCCGUGCCAGAUGUGCACGUGGGAGCUGCCGGGUGUGGAGGUGGCCCGGCUGGUCAACUACUUCUCCAACUGCAAGUUGUCGAAGAAGGAUUGGUAGUUUGGCAAGCCGCCGUACGACCGCGCACACCCGCCGCCUGCGGUAAGUCUUGUAAUUCUUUUUCUUGUUUGUUCGUCCGAGUUCUUGCUUUGCCGUCUGAUCAGUCAGCAAUGAUAUAGGUCUUCUCUACCCAGUCGGCCGCCGACGCUCUGGAGCCGGGCGACGUGUUCAUGCCGGACCGGACGAGAAGCGACGCGGACGACCCCGACUUGGGGGCGGCCGCCAUGGAGGAGGACGACGCCACGGGAGGUGGAGGUGGAGCAGGCGGCUCCUCAGGAGGUGGCGUCGAGGAUUGGCCAGAUGAUGAUGAGGAGGAGAACGAGCCGCGUGGCGCUCAUGGCGCCGGCAAGGCGGGUGCGAGCUAUUCAGCCGCGCCGACUGCACCAGGCAGCGCGCCGAAGCGCCGGGCCGAAGGCGGGCUGUUCGGCAGCCGGCUGAAGAAGGCCAAGAACACGGCCGCCGCGACCAGGCGGCAGGAGGCCGCCGCGAAGGCGGCCCAAUUCCAGAAGUCCCCAAAGCGGCUCCCAUUGGCGUCCGGGUGAGUAUUUCGGUUCUUCAGCUCUCGCUUUUGUGUUUGCUUUUCUUCUUUCUUUUAGUCUUCUUACUGGCUUCUUGUCCCCGUGCUUCAUAGGGACCCGCUCUCUCUAUCGCGGACCCCGUCAGCCUCGGUGAUUGGGGGGCGGACGGCUUCGCCGAGCCCCGCCGCGUGGACCUUCUUGCCGACCUCCGUGAGGUGACGGAGCGGAACGCGCGGGAGGCGCGCGAGGAGCGGGAGAAGGCGGAUGCGGCCAAGGUGGCGCAGGCGGAGGUCGAUGCGGCAGCCAAGGCUCAAGCCGACGCCGCGACCAAGGAGCAGGGGACGCGGCCGCCAAGGCGCAGGAGGCGGAGGCAGCCCGCAGCCAGGCUCCACAGCUCGUCGUCCCACUGCGCGCCGUGCCACCAGCACCGGAGAGCCAGGCGCGGACUGGAGGAGCCGGCGAUGACCAGCCGGUCCAGGAGAGGGGAGGGGGCGACCCCAUCGUCUUGGGGGCGAAAGUGCCCCCGCCCACGCCGACUGUCGACGCCCAGAUCAGUCGACCUGACGCAACACAAGUGCCGCUGAUUGGUGGCGAGUUGGUGGUGGGCUCGGCUCCCGCGGUCCGCACUCCGGUGCGUCAUCGCGCGGGAAAAGCGACCUCAGUGCCACGGCCGCUGGAAUUCGGGGCCGCAAGCUCAUCGCCCCCCAAAGCUGAGGCUACCAGCGCCCCCCGCCGGAGUGGACGCCUGGGGCGGGACGGGCGUGCUGAACACGGCCGCACAGGAUGUCCAGGCCCGGUUCCAGGCCCAAGGCACCGCCCUCCAGCAGUAUACACAAGCGUUUUUGGCAACGCGAGCGGCUGUCCGGGUAUGCUUCUCAUCACUUUGUUUUUUAUUCUUGUAAUCUUCCACGGGGGCGUGCCAGCGCACCCACUGGGUGUAGCCCUCGAGUUCCGGGCUGGCUGCUGAGCAGGCGGCUCGGAACUUAAAGGUAAGUUCUGAGUGCUAACCUUUCCUUUUCUCUUCUGUUUUCUUUGUUGCAGGACUACCACAACAUCCGCACGGCCGCCUUCAACUCCCAUGUCCGGGAGAUGACCAAGCGGACCACUGAUUUGGCCAAAAGCCAGAGUAAACACUCCGUCCUUGUUCUCGCGGGGGCGCGUCAGCGCACCCGCUGGGUGUAGCCCCGAGAUUCGGGCCGACUACUGAGCAGUCGAGCCGGAUCUUCCGGCAACCACUUUUCCCCUUUGUUGAUUUGUUGACUAUCUUCUCUUUCUUGUCUUCUGCAGGAGCGCCCGCCGACCUGCAGCAGUGCUUGGGCGAAGCCCAAACUGAGCUGCGCACCAAGGAGGAGGAGCGCCGCAAGGUGGUUGAGGAGUGCGACCGCCUGGCCAAGGAGCUGGCGGCCCAGGCAGAUCGACACAAGGCGGCGCUCAAGAAGGCGAAGGACGACGAGGCCGUCCUCCAGGCCGAGUUCGAGACCGAACGCUCGGGCUGGGCCGAGAAGGAGAAGGCCCUGAGCGACGGCUACGGCGAGAUCAAAGAUAUGAUCGACGGUGAGUUAUAUUUCCUUUCUUUCGGCCGCCGUCUUCUAUAUGAGCCGGCCUGUAUCUUCUUUUUUCUUCUUGUGCAGACUUCUUCCCUGGACACGCCAUUGCCGCCAGCCAGGACAUCGAGGCUCACCGCGAUGAGCGAUGAUGGGCUAGUGCAGAAAUCGCGCCCAAUGCACCCCGAACCCUCAACGAGCAGCUUCUCGCCAUCCACGCUCGUCUCCAGCCGUCCCACCGGAUGCUACACCGUCUGCAGCGCGUCAUGGCCCAUGUGUUGACUGCCCUCUAGCCGGACUCUCAGACCCUGCGCACCCCCAGCCGGACUGCUGAGUGGCUGGAGGUAGCAGUCGGCCGCUUCGAGGCUUGGAAGGGCUCGGCGGCUCGUGCCGGCGCUUGGAGGGCCCUGGAGUUUGUCAAGGCAUGGUACCCAGGCCUGGACUUGGCCCAGCUGGCCACCUUCCGGGUGGAGGCCACACCAGAGCUGGCGGCGGCGAGCCGUGACCUGACUCGUCACGCAGCGGCGAUCUCCGACUACGCCGACACCUCCGUGUUCGUCCUGGAGCUAAACGAGGAGGGAGCCGAGGUGCCGCCCAACUGGUUCGGGCUGAACCCGGAGUAUGAGGAAGAUUCGAUGAAGGAGAUCGUCUCUAGUGAUGACAGCGAGGACGAAGAGGAUGAUGCGCCGGGUGAUGGAGCCGCCGGCCAGCCUCAGCCCGACUAAGCCUCGACCAACGAGCCGCGAGUCGGCGAGCCGACUGCUGCUGGUGCCGACCAGGCCGAGACCAACCAGACGGCCAUUCCACCACCCAGUGCCUCCACCUCCGCCGACCCCUCGGAUCCGACUGCAACCCCUCUGGCCUAGGCGGCCAAGUUAUCUUCUUUUUCCUAUUCUUGUAAUCUUUUGGACAAAUAUGUUAAAUCUACGUAGUUCCACCCGCUGGGGUGUAUUCAAACUCUGUUGAAUGUUGGCUGAGGGCCUUUUGCUUAUGUAAAUUAACUUUGCCGAGUUCUAACUUGUCUUGCUUUUCUGCUCCUUUGGCUUUUUCCUUUGCCGCCUUCCUUUGGCUGCCGCCUUGCCAGCCAGGCAGCCGCUCUGCGGUCUGUGGCUGGGUCAGGUACUUGGCCAUUUUGGGAAGGCAAGUACUUCAGCCGUUUAGAGCGUAGCAAGUUAAGUGACAGGCCGGCCGGCCGGUUGCCUAGCAGCCGGGCAGUAAGGCUAGGAGCCGGCUUGGCCUCUGUGGAUGCUUUUUUCCUUAGCCAUUUUUCGUAUGGGCACCCUUUCCUGCCUUUAACUCUUGCCUGCCGAACAGUCACUCUGCGAACUGCGGCUUAUGGUAAGAGAGGGCUUAGAUGCCGGCAUACUACUUGUCAGACUGCAGGUAGCAUCAACAUAAUACAAGGCGGCAAGCCCUCGGGCCGACUGGUCGAACCCGGUGCCGGACGAAGGAAUGAAAUAAUACAUUCACAGGCAUAGAACUUAUCAUAUAGAUAAAAAGGGUAGCCCCCGAGUGCUCCUCGAGGGACCCGAUGUCUUAGCUUCUUAAUACAAAAGGUAGCGUGGUACAUAUGGCAUUAACUGUAAAAUCUUCGGAGGAGAUUUGCAUUCCAUGGGCGCUCCGAUUCCUUGCCAGAGUCGUCUCUCUUGCGCGCUCUGGGCUUCUAUGCAUCGAUGGGGUAGUAGGAGUUGUUGCCCAAAGCUUUGCUUAUGAUGAAGGGGCCUUCCCAAGGGGCCGAGAGCUUGUGCUGGCCGGCUGUUCGCUGGAUCAACCGGAGCACAAGGUCUCCCUCUUGGAAGGAUCUUGGCUUGACCUUCCAACUGUGGUAGCAGCGCAGGCUCUGCUGGUAGAUGGCGGACCGGCUGAGUGCCAACAGCCGGCCCUCUUCCAGCAGAUCAGCGCCGUCUUCUCGUGCUUCUUUUGCCUCCGCCUCCGUGUACAUGGUCACGCGAGGUGAGUUGAACUCAAUGUCAGUUGGGAUGACGGCCUCGGCCCCGUACAUGAGGAAGAAGGGAGUGAAGCCGGUUGAUUUGUUCGAAGUGGUGCGGAGGCUCCAGAGGACGGCCGACAGUUCGUCGAUCCAGCAGCCCGCCGAGCGCUCUAGUGGCUCGACUAGUCGGGGCUUGAUGCCGGACAAGAGGAGGCCGUUUGCUCGCUCGACCUGGCCGUUUGACUGCGGAUGGGAAACGGACGCUAAGUCCAGUCAGAUGCCCUGCAUCGCGCAGAAACGGGGCAAGGCACCUUUGGCAAAGUUUGUGUCGUUGUCGGUGAUGAUGGUGUGUGGUACACCGUAUCGGACGUUGAUAUCUACGAUGAAGGUCACAACAGUCGGACCAUUCAGUUUCUUGAUUGGCUUUGCUUUGAUCCACUUGGUGAAUUUGUCCACGGCGACAAGCAGAUGGGUCAUGGCGCCGCGUGCUGUCUUGAAUGGUCCCACCAUGUCCAGCCCCCAUAAGGCAAAGGGCCAAGUGAGGGGAUGGUCUUGAGUGCAGAAGCCGGCAGAUGUUGCUUGGAGCUGAAUUUCUGGCACCCCUUGCAUUUCUUGACCAAAUCCUUGGCGUCUUCCAAAGCAGUUGGCCAGAAGAAACCAUGGCGGAAAGCUUUGGCGACAAGGGAUCUGGAGGCCACGUGGUGGCCGCACUCUCCUUGGUGGAUAUGUUUGAGGAUUGCCUUGACUUUCUCUGGUUCUACACAGCGCUAGAAGACCCCAGUCACGCUGCGUCUGACAAGCUCUCUGUUUACUAUCGUGUAGGCUCCUGCUCAGCGGUGCACUUGCCGGGCCGAGGUCUCAUCAGCUGGCAGCUCUCUGUUCACCAGGAAAUUGAGGAUGGGUUGCGCGCAUGAUGGUGCUUCGACUUCAUCCACUGUUAUCAUGGCCACUGAGACUAGGGUGGCUGGGUUGGGAGGCGGCGGGGUGGAGUCGGCUGCUGCUUGCUGCGUUGUUGGAGUCCUCGGGCCGACUGCUGCAGCCCCCAGGCCGGGUUCUAGAGUCCCAGGGCCGAGUGCGACUGCCGCAGUCCACGAGCCGCUUGGUGAAGUCCUCGGGCCGGCUGCUGCAGCCCCCGGGCCGGGUCUGACUGCUUCGGGAGCAGCCGGCAUGAAGAUGGACUCGGAUUCUGGAGAAGGCUUGAUAGACGGCUUGCGGAGGCACUGAAGGGAGACCCCGACUGGUAUUGCUUGGCGGGUGGAGCCGAUUCGUGCCAGGGCAUCAGCUUGCUCGUUGUCGUUCCGUGGUACGUGAAGGAACUCACACCCGUCAAAAUAUUCGCCGAUCUGCUAGACGAGGAAGCGGUAACUUGCCAUAUUUGCAUCCUUGGUGUCCUAGUCGCCAGACGACUGUUGGACCACCAAGUAUGAGUCGCCAUACCACAGGAUCCGGCGGAUGUCGAUCUCUUUGGCCAGCCGGAGUCCGUGUACUAGCACCUCAUACUCGGCCACGUUGUUGGAGGCGGUAAAGUAAAUUUGCAAUAUGUAUCUGAGCUUGUCGCCCUUGGGAGAGGUGAGGACGAUGCCGGCUCCCAAGCCGGUGCGCAUCUUCGAGCCAUCAAAGUGCAUCCGCCAAUGAGUGGAGUCCGGAGCUGGCGGCAGGUCCUGGGUCUCAGCCCAGUCGACGAGGAAGUCAGCCAGUGCUUGGGACUUGAUGGCGGUGCGUGGCUGGUAGAAGAUGGUGUACGGGGCCAACUCGAUGGCCCAUUUGGCCACCCGGCCUGAUGCAUCUCUGUUGCCUAUGAUCUUAGCAAGCGGGGCAGUGCAAACAAUCGCGAUUGGGUGCUCUUGAAAGUAUAGCUUCAGCUUCUUGGCGGCAAAGUGCACGCCGUAGCACAUCUUCUGCUAGUGGGGGUAGUUCUGCUUUGAGGCCGACAACACCUCGCUCAAAUAGUACAUAGGCCUCUAGACUGGCUGUGCUCUGCCAUCCUGUGGGCGCUCCACCACAAUGACAGUGCUGACCACCCGGCUGGUGGCGGCGAUGUAGAGGUACAUGGGCUGCUCAGCAGCCGGGGCCACCAGGACAGGCGAGGUAGUCAGCAUCUUCUUCAACUGGAGAAAGGCCUCAUCCGCCUUGUCGUUCCACUAGAAGUGAGUGGUUUUCUUCAUGAGUUGGUACAGGGGAAGAGCCUUCUCACCCAGCCGACUGAUGAAGCGGCUGAUGGAUGCCAAACAGCCGGUGAACUUCUGGACAUCUUGCAGUCGGGUGGGUCUCUCCAUCCUCUCAAUGGCCUUGAUCUUCACAGGGUUGCACUCAAUGCCACGCUCUGAGACCAAGAAGCCAAGCCGGCUGGUACUCCAAAGACAGACUUCUCCGGGUUGAGCUUGAUUUGAAAACGGCGUAGAUUAUCAAAAGUUUCCUUGAGAUCUUCCAAGAGGGUAUCACGCUUCUCCGUCUUCACCACAAUAUCGUCUACAUAGACGUGGGCAUUUCUGCCGAGCUGCUUGAGGAGGCACUUCUGCAUGCAAUGUUGAAACGUGGCACCGGCAUUUCUCAAGCCGAAUGUCAUGGUCAGGUAGCAUAAGGCUCCGAAUGGUGUGAUGAAGGCGGUCUUCAGGCGGUCGGCCGGGUUCAACUUGAUCUGGUGGUACCCUGAGUAGGCAUCGAAAAAACUCAGCAGCUCGCAUCCGGCUGCGGAGUCUAUCACUUGGUCUAUCCUUGGCAAAGCAAAUGGAUCUUUGGGGCAGGCUUUGUUGAGGCUGGUAUAGUCAAUACACAUGCGCCAUUUGUCGUUCUUCUUCAGUACAAGGACUGGGUUGGCAAUCCAUUCUGGAAAAAACACUUCCAUAAUGAAGCCGGCCGCCAGCAGGCGGGCGAUCUCUUCACCAACGAUUCUCCUCUUCUCUUCCGACAGUCGGCGGAGGGGUUGUUUGACUGGUUUGGCAUCUGAUCUGACAUGUAGCUUGUGCUCGGCGAAAUCCGUCGGAACACCCGACAUAUCUUUGGGAGACCAUGCGAAGAUGUCCUGAUUCUCAUGGAGGAAAUCGACGAGCUCGCUUUCCUAUUUGCUGUCAAGGUUGGCCCCUAUGACAGCGUGCCUCUCCGGGUGCUCUAGGUCCAAGGGGAUCUUCUUUCUUUCUUUGGCCGGCUGGAAGGAGCCCUGGGUCUCAGACUCCUUGGGGUCUGGAGACAAGUCCGGCUGCUUGUUGGCCAUGGCCACAACUCGGUCCAGGAGCUUCUUCUCAGCAGCAAUCACAAGGGACUCGGCCAGCCGGCUGCUAGCUGCAGCACAGGCGGCCGACUUCUCGUAGUCUCCAGCUAUUGUGAUAAUGCCCUUAGUUCCUGGCAUCUUCAUCUUGAGGUAGGCAUAAUGAGGCACUGCCAUGAACUUGGCUAGAGCUGGCCGGCCUAGGAGCACAUGAUAAGGGAUCUCCAGGUCAACCACCUCAAACCAAAUUGCCUCGCGGCGGAAGUGAUCCUUGUCUCUGAAGAGGACAUCUAUCUUGAUCUUGCCGAUUGGUGAGCAGGAAAGGCCGGGGACAAUGCCAUGAAAGACGGUCCGACUGGGCUGGAGCUGCUUCUCUUUAAUGCACAACUUCUCCAUGGUAUCGCGGUAAAGUAUGUUGAUGCUGCUACCGCCAUAUAUCAGAAUCCAGGAGAAAUGAGCAGUUCGCCUCUCUGUUGCAAGGGUGGCAUCCAACACCAGAGCAUAGGAACCCGAAGAAGGCAUCACCUCCGGGUGGUCUGCAUGGCUCCAGCUGAUGGGCUUCUCGGACCAAUGCAUGAAUUCUGGGGCAUUUGAAGCAACGACAUUCACUUCACGGUGUUGCUGACGUCGGUUGUGCCUGUCACCAGCCACGCUGGUGAAGACGACAUAAGCUUCGUGUUCUUCGGGGAAUUCAUCCUGGAUAGCACCGACUGCUGGACGGGCCGCCGGCUGCUCGGGAGGCAGAGCCGGCUGGCCAACAGGCGGAGGAGGCAGUCCCUCGCCCUUGGCAAUGCGGAUGAGCCAAUGGCAUUUCCGGGUUGUAUGGUUGGAUGUUCGCGCCGCUAUGGAACUUGCAGGGAGCAUCGAGGGUCUGCUCGAAGGAGAAGGCGGGCAGCCAGGCGGGCUUGCCGCCUUUCUGACGCUUGGGGCCGGGUUGCCCCUCCGUCUGUUGAUCCUCAACAGUUGCUGCCUACCGGUUGGUGGAAGCCGGCAGCGGGGCCUUGCGCUUGUUGUCGUUCUGCUGCUGGCGCCAACUGUUGUCACGAGCCGGCGUCCGGGGAGCCGGAGGGAGCACCUUCCCGGACACGUCCACCUGGAGCUCCGACUUCAUGGAGGAGUGGGCCGUGGCGUAGUUGUCUGCUAUGAUCAGCAGCUCGUCGAGUGUAGCCGGCUCAUCACAGAGGAGUCGGUGCUUGAGUAAGGUGCCCUCUCCGCACGCGGCGGUGAAGUACUCAAUGGCUUGCACCUCGUGCACCCCUUCACAGGAGUUGCGCAGUUUGGCCCAUCGCGUCAAGUAGUCGCGGGUGGACUCGGUCGGGCCUUGAACACACAGCGAGACCUGGCGGUGCUUGGGCAGCCGCUUUUAGGUGCUGGUGAAGUUGCGGAUGAAGACUUCAGUGAAAUCUACCCAGCUGUUGACGCUGUGGGGCUUCGGGCUAUUCAGCCAUGUCCGGGCCAUGCCCUGGAGCAUGAGCAGAACGUACUUCACGGCAACGCGCUUGUUGCCGUUUGCUAUGUUCACGGCUGUGGAGUAGUCCACCAGCCAAUCCUCCGGCUUCACGGAGCCGUUGUACUUGGGAGUGUCUCGAGGGAGCGAGAACCCUUUGGGGAAGGGCUCGUCGCGAAUGUGGGGGCCGAAACAAGGAGGGCCGAUUGCAUCUUCUUCUUCUAUUGCCAGGGAUCGAGCCAGGCGGUCGAUCCGGUGGCGGGCGUCGUUCUCUCCGACUCCUUCUCGGCGGCCCAGCCGGUCUCCGAGAGUCGGGUGCUCAACAGGCGGCGGGGAGGCGUGCCUCUCCCUGCACAGGGGAGGCGGGCGAUUGCUCCGUUGUUCCACCGCUCGCGGGUGGCUGUGUUUGUCGCGCUCGAUGGUGAUGCGCGUCCGAUUGCGGCUAGCAGCCGACUCUCGAUCUCUGUGGUCGCGGGCACCGCCUGUCGGCGUCCGGGAGGUCACACCAUGCUCUCAGUGAGGGGGGAGGUUCUCGGCUUGCAAGCUGGGUUCAACCACGCGGCGGCCGGCUUCUUGCUGCGCGGCAGCCGCCUCGAGGAGCUGCUGGACGUGCUCCGUCAUGUAGUGACGCUCGUCGCCUUCCAAGUGGUCUAGCUCGUCUGCUGCCGCCUGAGCAGUGCGCAGGUUCUCCAACGGCGUGGCAUAGAUAGGGUGGUCUACCCCGAACAUGCUGGCGACAGCAGCGCCACGCUGGCGGACUGUGCCCACAUGGCUAGGCUUGCCAGCCGCCGGAGUGCCACAGACGGCGCGGUCGAUCUCGUGCUGGUUGACCUCAGAGAGGUGUCUCAUGGUGGCCAACUUCUUGGCGCUCUCGACGAGCAAGACGCGACAGGCUUCUAGUGUCUCGGCAUUGGUGUCUGCCGCGAUGGGCGCGGACAGGUCCCGCAUGUCCGCCUGCAGCGGGUCCUGGGCGGCCCUGUCGAAGGCUCCGCCAUGGCUGAUGAUAAGCACCUCCGUGACGGUGCUGCUGCGGCUGUCUGCAAGAGGGAGCAGGUCGUCGAUGACCACCACGUUGGUGGGGAAGGCGUCGAGGGAUGCCGCAUCAAAGUCGACAAGCAUCGGGUUGGUGGAGCUAACUGACUCUAGGUCAGAGGCUGGCUCGUUGGUGAUGUGGAGCUUGCCAAGGAGGUCGAUGAUGAAGCUCUCGGAGCUGGUUGCUCCCGCGUCGGGUGCGGGCUCGUCGGAGAGGCGGAUCUCGCCGAUGAGAUCAGCGAGGCACCUCGCCGCGCAAGCGACUUCUGCGCCAUGCUGCGCGUCAGCGCAAACGCCAUCGGGCGUGCCGGGCUGGCUUCGCUCACUAGGGAGGAAAAGGGUUCCCGUCCAGAACAGAUCUCCGGACGACGGUGCACCUAGCCCCACAGUGGGCGCCAAAUGUCGGGGGUGUCGUGCGACAUAUGCCAAAGGAUGGCUUAUCAUGGUGGGGGACAAAAGUACGUCGCCGGUGCCUGGAAACGGGAUGAGGCGUAAACAUGUACGCCGACGCAUCUAACCCAGGUUCGGGGCUCUCCUAGGAGAUAACACCCCUAGUCCUGCUCUGCGGGGUCUCCACAUGAUCAGUAUCUCAACAAGGUGGCUGCAAGCUUGCUCCUUGAGCUGUUCUGGCUAGAGGAGGAAGAAGAACAAGGCUUGCCCUUAAUCCACUCUCUCUAUGUGGUAUGUGUGUGCUGUGGUUCUGAACCCUUUGCAUGGGUGGCCUGGGGGGUUUAUAUAGGCCUACCCCUCAGGGGUACAAUGGUAAUCUGGCCGGGUGUAGGACCUGGCUGUCAGUGUCUAUGGUUGCCGACUUCUCCGCCGACUGCUGGGGCCCGCCGCCUGGUGGGUCCUGCUGGCUGUCUCGUACUUGGCCGACGGGCCACGCUCGCCGCUUGCGGGUAUUGCCGGCUGCUUAGGACUGUGGCCGCUCCACUGAUGAUGCAUGCUUUGUCGGGGAGAGCGUGGCUACAGUCCGCCGCCUGGCGGGCGUUCACUGUAGCCACUCAUCGUCUCUUCUGAUUAAUGGCGCACAGACUUUGAGGGAGGGGGAGGGCCGCCUGCUAGGAGUCGGCCUCCCCUAUGCCGACUGGUCAGGGCUUGCCGCCUUCUGGCUUCUCACAGACAGGUAGGGCCCGCCGCCUGCGGGCCGUACCGAUAUCCCGUAGUGGGAGCGUGGCCUCUUCUGCCGUGGAUGAUGCCACGGGCUGCAUGGCAACAGUGCUGCGCCGGGCGAGGGGUGUCCGCCCAGUAUGCUGCACUUUGGCCAUGUUCUGCCCUGGAUUCGGGGGUGGCAGGCUACACUGUAGCCACACCCCGUCUCAUUGUUGUAAUGAGGUGCUAACUUCGAGGGAGGGAGGGACCACCUGCUAGGAGUCGGCCCACCUCAUGGCCGCCCUCUGGGCUCUGCCGCCUUCUAGCAGCCGGCCGCUUGGACCAGCCGCCCCGGAGGAGGCGGCUCUUUGUCUCUAAGGCUUGAGGGGCACAGCCGGCCCUGAUGUCUUGAAAUACCAUGGGGAGCAGAAGAGGCUACCUGUGGUCAUUUACUCCGACAUUCAGUCUCCCACUUGCACUAGAGUCAAUAAUCUAGUUCACAUCGCCAUGUGAUUUAACACCAAUAGUUCACAUCACCAUGUGACCAACACCCAAAGGGUUUACUAGAGUCAAUGAUCUAGUUCACAUCGCCAUGUGAUUAACACCCAAAGAGUACUAAGGUGUGAUCAUGUUGUGCUUGUGAGAGAAGUUUAGUCAACGGGUCUGCCACAUUCAGAUCCGUAUGUAUUUUGCAAAAUUCUAUGUCUACAAUGCUCUGCAUGGAGCUACUCUAGCUAAUUGCUCCCACUUUCAAUAUGUAUCCAGAUUGAGACUCGGAAUCAUCCAAAAUGGUGUCAAAGCUUGCAUCGACGUAACUCUUUAUGAUGAACUCUUUAUCACCUCCAUAACCGAGAAAUAUUUCCUUAGUCCUCUAAGGGUAAUUUUGACCGCUGUCUAGUGAUCUACUCCUGGAUCACUAUUGUACCCCUUUGCCAAACUCAUGGCAAGGUACACAUAGGUCUGGUAUAUGGCAUGGCAUACUUUAUAGAACCUAUGGCUGAGGCGUAGGGAAUGACUUUCAUUAUCUCUCUAUUUUCUGCCGUGGUCGGGUUUUGAGUCUUACUCAACUUCAUACCUUACAACUUAGGCAAGAACUCCUUCUUUGACUGAUCCAUUUUGAACUCCUUCAAAAUCUUAUCAAGGUAUGUAAUCAUCGAAAGUCUUAUCAAGCAUCUUGAUCUAUCUUUAUAGAUCCUGAUGCCCAAUAUGUAAGUAGCUUCAGUGAGGUCUUUCUUUGAAAAAAUCCUUUCAAACACUCCUUUAUGCUUUCCGGAAAAAUUCUACAUCAUUUCCGAUCAACAAUAUGUCAUUCACAUAUACUUAUCAGAAAGGUUGUAGUGCUCCCACUCACUUUCUUGUAAAUACAGGCUUCACCGCAAGUCCGUAUAAAACUAUGCUUUGAUCAGCUCAUCAAAGCGUACAUUCCAACUCCGAGAUGCUUGCACCAGUCCAUAGAUGGAUCGCUGGAGCUUGCACACUUUGUUAGCACCAUUAGGAUUGAGAAAACCUUCUGGUUGCAUCAUAUACAACUCUUCUUUAAUAAAUCCAUUAAGGAAUGUAGUUUAGACAUCCAUUUGCCAGAUUUCAUAAAAUGCGGCAAUUUCUAACAUGAUUCGGACAGACUUUAAGCAUCGAUACGAGUGAGAAAAUCUCAUCGUAGUCAACACCUUGAACUUGUCGAAAACUAUCAGUGUCCAUCUUCCUCUUGAAGAUCCAUUUAUUCUCAAUGGCUCGCUGAUCAUCGGGCAAGUCAAUCAAAGUCCAUACUUUGUUCUCAUACAUGGAUCCUAUCUCAGAUUUCAUGGCCUCAAGCCAUUUAUCGGAAUUUGGGCUCAUCAUCGCUUCCUCAUAGUUCGUAGGUUCGUCAUGGUAUAGUAACAUGACUUCCAGAACAGGAUUACCGUACCACUCUGGUGCGUAACAUGCUCUGGUUGACCUACGAGGUUCGGUAGUAACUUGAUCCGAAGUUUCAUGAUCAUUAUCAUUAGCUUCCUCACUAGUUGGUGCAGGCAUCAUGGGAACGGUUUUAUGUGAUGAGCUACUUGCCAAUUUGAGAGGAGGUACAAUUACCUCAUCAAGUUCUACUUUCCUCCCACUCACUUCUUUCGAGAGAAACUCCUUCUCUAGAAAGGAUCCAUUCUUACGAACAAUGAUCUUGCCUUCGGAUCUGUGAUAGAAGGUGUACCCAACAUUUUGCUUUUGGGUAUCCUAUGAAGACGCACUUCUCCGAUUUGGGUUCGAGCUUAUCGGGCUGAAGCUUUUCACAUAAGCAUCGCAACCCCAAACUUUAAGAAACAACAGCUUAGGUUUCUUGCUAACCACAGUUCAUACGGUGUCGUCUCAAUGGAUUUAGACGGUGCCCUAUUUAACGUGAACGCAGCUGUCUCUAAUGCGUAACCCCAAACAAUAGUAGUAAAUCAGUGAGAGACAUCAUAGAUCGCACCAUAUCUAAUAAAGUAUGGUUACGACGUUCGGACACACCAUUAUGCUGUGGUGUUCCAGGUGGCGUGAGUUGUGAUACUAUUCCACAUUGUUUUAAAUGAAGGCCAAACUCGUAACUCAAAUAUUCGCCUCCGCGAUCAGAUCGUAGAAACUUUAUUUUCUUGUUACGAUGAUUCUCCACUUCACUCUAAAAUUCUUUGAACUUUUCAAAUGUUUCAAACUCAUGUUUCAUCAAGCAGAUAUACCCAUAUCUGCUCAAAUCAUCUGUGAAGGUCAGAAAAUAACGAUACCCGCCGCGAGCCUCAACACUCAUCGGACUGCAUACAUCGGUAUGUAUUAUUUCCAAUAAGUCAGUGGGUCGCUCCAUUGUUCCGGAGAACGGAGUUUUAGUCAUGUUGCCCAUGAGGCAUGGUUCCCAAGUAUCAAAUGAUUCAUAAUCAAGUGAUUCCAGAAGUCCAUCCAUAUGGAGUUUCUUCAUGCGCUUUACACCAAUAUGACCUAAACAGCAGUGCCGCAAGUAUGUUGCACUAUCAUUAUCAACUUUGUAUCUUUUGGCAUCAAUAUUAUGAAUAUGUGUAUCACUACGAUCGAGAUUCAAUAAACCAUUUAUAUUGAGUGUAUGACCAUAGAAGGUUUUAUUCAUGUAAACAGAAUCACAAUUAUUCUUUGACUUAAAUGAAUAACCGUAUUGCAAUAAACAUGAUCCAAUCAUAUUCAUGCUCAACUCAAAUACCAAAUAACAUUUAUUUAGGUCCAACACUAUUCCAGAAGGUAGAGGGAGUGUGUGAUGGUGAUCUUAUCAUUCUUGGAAUCACUUCCAACACACAUCGUCACUUCGCCCUCAACUAGUCUCUGUUCAUUUUGUAACUCCUGUUUUCGAGUUACUAAUCUUAGCAACUGAACCGGUAUCAAAUACCCAGGGGCUACUAUGAACACUAGUAAAGUUCACAUCAAUAACAUGUAUAUCAAAUAUACCUUUGUUCACUUUGCCAUUCUUCUUAUCCGCCAAGCAUUUGGGGCAGUUCCGUUUCCAGUGACCAUUCCCUUUGCAGUAGAAGCACUCAGUUUCAGGCUUAGGUCCAGCCUUGGGCUUCUUCACAGGAGUGGCAACUUGCUUGCCAUUCUUCUUGAAGUUCCCUAUAUUUCCCUUGCCCUCUUUUCUCGAAACUACUGGUCUUGUUAACCAUCAACACUUGAUGCUCUUUCUUGAUUUCUUCCUUCGCUGAUUUCAGCAUCGCGAAGAGCUAGGGAAUUGUUUUCGUCAUCCUUGCAUAUUAUAGUUCAUCACAAAGUUCUAGUAACUUGGUGAUAGUGACUAGAGAACUCUGUCAAUCACUAUCUUAUCUGGAAGAUUAACUCCCACUUGAUUCAAGCAAUUGUAGUACCUAGUCAUUCUGAGCACAUGCUCACUAGCUGAGCUAUUCUCCUCCAACUUGUAGGAAAAGUACUUGUGAGAUGUCUCAUACCUCUUGAUACGGGCAUGAGUCUGAAAUACCAAUUUCAGCUCUUGGAACAUCUCAUAUGCUCUGUGGCGUUCAAAACGUUUUUGAAGUCCCGGUUCUAAGCCGUAAAGCAUGGUGCACUAAACUAUCAAGUAGUCAUCAUACCGAGCUUGUCAAACGUUCAUAAUGUCUGCAUCUGCUCGUGCAAUAGGUCUGUCACAUAGCGGUGCAUCAAGGACAUUAUUCUUCUGUGCAGCAACGAGGAUAAUCCUCAGAUCACGGAUCCAGUCCGCAUCAUUGCUACUAUCAUCUUUCAACUUAGUUUUCUCUAGGAACAUAUCAAAAAUAAAACAGGGGAGCUAUACGCGAGCUAUUGAUCUAUAACAUAGAUAUGCAAAUACUAUGAGGACUAAGUUCAUGAUAAAUUAAGUUCAAUUAAUCAUAUUAAUUAAGAACUCUCACUUAGAUAGACAUCCCUCAAGUCAUCUAAAUGAUCACGUGAUCCAUAUCAACUAAAUCAUGUCCGAUCAUCACGUGAGAUGGACUAGUCUUCAAUGGUGAACCUCUCUAUGUUGAUCAUAUCUACUAUAUGAUUCACGUUUGACCUUUCGGUCUCCAGUGUUCCGAGGCCAUGUCUGUACAUGCUAGGCUCGUCAAUUUUAAGACGAGUAUUCCACACGUGCAAAACUGUCUUGCACCCGUUGUAUGUGAACGUAGAGCUUAUCACACCCGAUCAUCACGUGGUGUCUCGGCACGACGAACUAUCGCAACGGUGCAUACUCAGGGAGAACACUUAUACCUUGAAAGUUUUAGUGAGGGAUCAUCUUAUAGUACUACCGCCGUACUAAGCAAAAUAAGAUGCAUAAAAAGAUAAACAUCACAUGCAAUCAAAAUAUGUGACAUGAUAUGGCCAUCAUCAUCUUGUGCCCUUGAUCUCCAUCUCCAAAGCACCGUCAUGAUUCCCAUCAUCACCGGCUUGACACCUUGAUCUCCAUCAUAGCGUCAUUGUCGUCUCGCCAACUAUUGCUUCUACAACUAUCGCUAACGCAUAGUGAUAAAGUAAAGCAAUUACAUGGCGAUUGCAUUUCAUACAAUAAAGCGACAACCAUAAGGCUCCUAGCAAUUGCCGAUAACUUUUACAAAACAUGAUCAUCUCAUACAAUAAUGUAUAUCACAUCAUGUCUUGACCAUAUCACAUCACAACAUGCCCUGCAAAAACAAGUUAGACGUCCUCUACUUUGUUGUUGCAAGUUUUACGUGGCUGCUACGGGCUUCUAGUAAGAAUCGUUCUUACCUACGCAUCAAAACCACAACGACAUUUUGUCAAGUUUGCUGUUUUAACCUUCAACAAGGACCGACCGCAGUCAAAUUCGAUUCAACUAAAGUUGGAGAAACAGACACCCGCCAGCCACCUUUAUGCAAAACUAGUUGCAUGUCUGUCGGUGGAACCGGUCUCAUGAAAGUGGUCAUGUAAGGUUGGUCCGGGCCGCUUCAUCCAACAAUACUGCCGAAUCAAAAUAAGACAUUGGUGGUAAGCAGUAUGACUAUCAUCACCCACAACUCUUUGUGUUCUAGUCGUGCAUAUCAUCUACGCAAAGACCUGGCUUGAAUGCCACUAUUGGGGAAUGCAGCAUGCAAUUUCAAAAAAAUUCCUACACUCACGCAAGAUCUAUCUAGGAGAUGCAUAGCAACGAGAGGAAGAGAGUGUGUCCACGUACCCUCAUAGACCGAAAGUGGAAGCGUUUGACAACGGGGUUGAUGUAGUCGAACUUCUCCUCGUUCCGACCGAUCAAGUACCGAACGUACGGCACCUUCGAGUUCUGCACACAUUCAGCUUGAUGACGUCCGUCGAACUCUUGAUCCAGCAAAGUGUCGAGGGAGAGUUUUGUUAGCACGACGGCGUGGUGACGGUGAUGGUGAAGUGCUCCGUGCAGGGCUUCGCCUAAGCAGUACGUGAAUAUGACCGGAGGCGUAAACUGUGGAGGGGGGCGCCGCACAUGGCUAACAAUGUUUGUUGUGUGUUCUAGCGGUGCCCCCUCAUAUAUAUAGGUUGGUGGGGAGGAGAGGCAGCCAAGUGGGUGCCCCAAGUAGGAGGAAUCCUACUUGGGGUCCUCCCAAUUCAGCCUCCCCCUUUCCUAUUCCUAUUCGGAGUAGGAAGGGAAGAGGGGGAAGGGGGAAUCCUAUUCCUUUUUUCUUUCCUUCUUCCCCUUUCCUUCUACAAUUGGCCAGCCCAUAUGGGGGGGGGCGCACCAGCCCCUUUGUGGCUGGUGUGUUUCCCCUCUUGGCCCAUUAGGCCCAUAUAGCUUGCCGGGGGUUGCCCGGAACCCCUUCCGGUGACCCGAUAAGUACCCGGUACCCCCAGAACACUUCCGGUGUCCGAAUACUAUCGUACUAUAUAUGAAUAUUUACCUCUCGACCAUUUAAAGACUCCUCGUCAUGUCCGUGAUCUCAUCCGGGACUCCAAACAACAUUCGGUCACCAAAUCACAUAACUCAUAUAAUACAAAAUCGUCAUCGAACGUUAAGCGUGCGGACCCUACGGGUUCAAGAACUAUGUAGACAUGACCGAGACACCUCUCCGGUCAAUAACCAAUAGUGGAACCUGGAUGCUCAUAUUGGUUCCUGUAGGAUCGAAAGUAAGUCUAGAGGGGGGGGUGAUUAGACUACUUGACUAAAUAAAAAUCUAGCCUUCUCCCAAUUUUAAGUCUUGGCAGAUUUUAGCAACUUAGUACAAGUCAAGAAUCAACCUAGACAUGCAAUUCUAAGAGUAUAGCAGCGGAAUGUAAAUCAUUGCAUAUGAAGGUAAAGGGGAGGAGUUUGGAGUGAACAAACGCAGUGUAGACACGAAGAUUUUGGCGUGGUUCCGAUAGGUGGUGCUAUCGUACAUCCACGUUGGUGGAGACUUCAACCCACGAAGGGUAACGGUGGCGUGAUUCCAUGGAGGUCUCCACCCACGAAGGGUCCACAAAGAAGCAACCUUUUCUAUCCCACCACGGCCAUCACCCAUGAAGGACUUGCCUCACUAGGGUAGAUCUUCACGAAGUAGGCGAUCUCCUUGCCCGUACAAACUCCUUGGUUCAUCUCCACAAUCUUGACGGAGGCUCCCAAGUGACACCUGACCAAUCUAGGAGACACCACUCUCCAAAAGUUAAUAGAUGGUGUGUUGAUGAUGAAAUCCUUGCUCUUGUGCUUCAAAUGAUAGUCUCCCCAAUACUCAACUCCCUCUCACAGAUAUUGAUAUGGUGGAAAGUUGAUUUGAGUGGAAAGCAACUUGGGGAAGGCUAGAGAUCAAGAUUAUUGUGGUUGGAUUGGAAUGUCUUGGUCUCAAUACAUGAGUAGGUGGUUCUCUCUCAGAAAAUGAAUGCUGGAAGUGUAGGCACGUUUUGAUGGCUCUCUCCACAAAUGGAGGAUGGAUGGAGGGGUAUAUAUAGCCUCCACACAAAAUCUAACCGUUACACACAAUUUACCAAACUCGGUGGGACCGAAUAGUGAAACUCGGUCAGACCGAUAUGGUUCAAAAUGUGAACGUUAGGCUUUUCGGUGGGACCGUCAAGAUCAACUCGGUGGGACCGAUGCGUUAGGGUUAGGCCAUAACUUGAUCUCGGUGAGACCGAUCACAUGAACUCGGUGAGACCGAUUUCAGUAAUAGGCAAACAGAGGGUUGGUCAGGCAAACUCGGUGGGACCGAUUUCUCAUUUCGGUGAGACCGAAACGUUAUGAAAAGGAAACACAGAGUUUGCAUUGCGAACUCGGUGGGACCGAUCGCUCAUCUCGGUUAGACCGAAACAUUACGAAGGGAAACAGAGAGUUUGCAAUCCCAUCUCGGUGAGACCCAGAUCACUAUUGGUGAGACUGAAUUGAUUAGGGUUUCUAGUAGUGGCUAUGUCAAGUGAACUCGGUGGCGCCGGAUAGAUCAAAUCAGUGGGGCCGAGUUUGACUUUAGGUUUAGGACAUAUGUGUAAAUGAGAAAGUGGUUGAGGGCUUUUGGAGCAUAUCACUAAGCAUUUUGAGCAAGCAAGCCAUUAAGCAACACCUCUUCCCCUUUUAAUAGUAUUGGCUUUUCUAUGGACUCAAUGUGAUCACUAAAAUGAAAAUGUAGAGUCUUGAUCUUUUGCCAAUAUGUGUCCUUUGCAUUUUGAGGGGUCCACAUCUCUAGUCCAUGCCAUGCCAAUCAUUGAACUUUCUGAAAUGAUUAUCUUGAAUGGAUAUAGUUCAAUGAGCUAUAUGUUGUUAAGAAUUACCAAAACCACCCAGGGAUUAGUUGCACUUUCAAUCUCCCCCUUUUUGGUAAUUGAUGACAACAUAUAGAUCAAAGUUUUGACAAUUGAUAAUAAGAAUGAAAUACAUCGUCGCUUUGAGAAGUAUGUGAUAAGCAAGAGCUCCCCCUAAAUUUGUGCAUUAUUUAAAAUUUUGCUUUUGAAUGCAAAUACACAAUCGAUUAGGAUCAUGGGUUACUCUUCCAUGUCACAUACAUCUUGGUGGAGCGCUCAAAAUGAUAGAAUAUGAAACAUGCACUCAUCACCAAGACAAAGUGUGAAUGAUCAUACAUGAGAGAUAGAUAAUAUCAUCAUCCAAGCACAAACAUUAAAGUAUGAUAUGAUCAAGCACAUGACCAUACAAGUAUCUCUCACACAUAAAUAGAGUAUCAACCAAACAAGCAACCAAAUAAGUAGCAAGAGAUAGCAAAAAGAAGCAAUUCAAUCUCUCUCUCUCGAAGCCUAUGAUCUAUACACUUUCUCCCCCUUUGGCAACAAGUUACCAAAAAGCUUGAAAAUGCAUAGUGCUAUGCGGCUCUCUAAGCUUGAUCUCUGGGAUCUCCAGAGUGCGAAGGUGGCGUGGAGAGGAGUCCUGCAACGAAUGCAUCUGAUGAAGACUGAGGAACUGGUGGAGUUGCAACUAGAGGAGCAACGGAGGCUGUAGCUGCUGGUGCUGAUGUAGUAGCCCUAGUGUCUGUCACUAGCACUGCUGCAGACCUCUAUGCCCUAGGCACUCUGAAAAACUUCAGUGGUAGCUUUCCCUCUUCCCUCUUCAACUUCAUCCUGGAGCUUCUCAACUGCACUCUGCAUCUAUGUGACCUUCAAGUCUAGAUCAAAGAACUUUGUUUCUAUGAUCCUUUCAAGACUCUCUUGAUUUUGAGUCAGGGUGGCCAAACCUUUCUCAAUCCUCAAGGUAGACUUAAUUAGAUAGCAAAGUUGAUCUUGUUUGGACUUGAGAAAUACUUGGGAUGCCUCUUCAGCACUUGGCAUCUUGGCUGCCUUCUCUGCUUUUGCUUUUUCUCUCUUCUCCUGAGCCUCUACUGAUGUAGGAUGUGAAGCAUCCAUAACAACUAUGUUGCCCUCACGAUCAGGCCUCAAGGGAAGGUGCUCUUUGUCCAGGAGAUACAUGCCUUUGCCCAUCUUGGAGUUGAUGAGCAUCUGAAUGUGUGGAGCAUACCCACAUGAUCUCUUUUGGUUUGCUGCAGUUCUCUUGAUGGUUUCAACUAUCAAGCUCAUCACCUUGAAUUUCUGUGGCACAUCAAAUAAUUGAAGCAGGUUGAUGGAGUGGCCUCUGAUCAUCCCGUGAUCUCCUGAUUUGGGCAACAAGGUGUGCCUCAAAAUGGUGUUCAUGGUGGCCAAUCCAGACAACAGGUAGUACACUGAGCCUAGUCUGUGUGUCUCCAAGGCCCUGUCAGGUAUCUUUUUGUACAUAUUGGCCAUGGAGUUGUGAUCCUUCUUUGGCUUUGCAUAGACAUCAAUGUCAUCCUAAGCUUCUUCCAGAUCAUUGAUGAGCUUGGCCCACUCAGCAACUGUGGACUGGUUCCUUAUACCCACAGACAUCCAGACAAUCUUCCCAUCUGGGUAAAAGUGUGCAGUAGAGUAAAAUUGCAUGAUCAGCUCAUCAUUCCACUUGGUCAAUUUCUGACCCACAAAGGUGUCAAAUCAAUUGAGUCUGAAGCUCUCAUGCACUCCAGGGAAAUGAUCUUCAUUGCUGUCAAUGUACUUCCAAUCCACCCAUUUCAUAUCACACACAAUGGGCUUCUUCUCCAAAAGCACAUUCUCAUAGAAUUCCUGCUGUUCCUUGGUGUGAAAUCUGUAGUCUACAACAGCCCUUCUCCUCACAGCAUAGGGGUCUGAUUGUCUCCAUAGUCUGAGACCUGCAUCCUUUCUCUCCUUCAUGUUUUCAGUUACCGGGUGAUUGUCAUCAUGAUCAGGAAUCUUUGGCUUCAAUUUUCUGAGCACUUGGGAUUCUUCUUCUUCUUCUUCCACUUUAGGCACUUGGGCCUUGUUUUUCUCAACAACAGGGAUAUUUCUAGUGCUUCUCUUUGGAGCAGUCUUUGAAGCUUGAGCAGUGGUCUUGGGGGCAGUCUUGGGCUUUGAUGGAGCAGCCCCAGACUUGAUGGCAUACCCCAUCAACUUCUAACUCUUUGGUUUUGGUGCAGCAUCUUCCUCAUGAUCCUCUUCCUCAUCCUUAGUUGGGUCUCUCAUCAUAGAGGAUCUGCCAAUUUCUCUGGCCAUGGUCUUCUUGACCCUUUCCUUUCUCUUCUUGCCCUCACGAGCCUCUUUUUGUUCAAGAGUGAACUCAAUGGUUUCCUGUGUUGAGGCUCUGGCUUUGGACAUGGGCACUCUCUUGGCAGGAGCUUUCUUGUGCAAACCAGGCUUGGUUGCAGCAGCAGCAUACUCAUUUUUCAGCACUUUCUUGGAGGUGCUUCCUCCUCAACAACAACAUAGUCUUCAUCUUCAGAGUCUGAGUUUCUCUUCUUCCUUGUCCUGGUUGCAGCUUUUGGCAAGUUGCUUGGGGUGCUUCUGCUACCCUCAUCAUAGCUGCCAGAGGGACAAGUGCCCUCACUCAGGUUGACCUGUUCCUCAGACUUGUUCUGGCUGUCACUUUGAUCAGACAUGGCUGAACUGCAAACUGACUUGAAAGCUGACCCUGUGAAUAGAUAUAGUUGAGAUAGAGUGGAUGAGCAUCACAAAGUGCAGAGAUUUUGCAAAACAAUUGAGUCAAGAACUUAGUUUUAGUUUCCUACAGAAAGCAUUUCGGAGCUACCGAUUUGUUGAACUCGAUGACAUCGAAGCAAUAUUAGAGUCUAAAGUAGUGGAAUCGGUCAGACCGAGACAUAGUUCGGUGACUCUGAGAUUGCUAGGGUUUCACUGAGAAUCGAACUCGGUCACACCAAUUCAUAAGUUUCGUUCAGACCAAAAAUUACAAGUGCAAUGGCCUAGGCCAAAUCGGUGAGACCGAUUUCUACAACUCGGUCGGUCCGAGAUGAGUUCGGCGGAAACCUAACCUUAAAUUUUUGAAUCAAAUCUAAUCUAAAGGAUGUUUUUGCUGGAUAGAACAAUCUCAUACGUGGUAAGAAUCAUGGCAUUGACCUAAGUGAAGAACCAGAGGUUAAGAUUGCACAUAGGGGUUGAGUUCAUACCCUAACUCGGCGGUGAAAUCGCUACGGCGACAAAGAUGGCGAAGAUUCCCCAUAGACGGCUGCAGAGACCAGCGGUGGGAGGUCACUGGCGAUGAGGAGACGAUCCAGAGACCUCGAGUCGGCAGAGCAUGAUAUGCGCGGGCGAAGGGUUUCGGAGGAAUUUCCAAAAUUUGACCCGUGGCUAUAUACAUCCCGACCCUGUCGGUGUGACCGAGUGGAACGACUCGGUGGCACCGAGAUGCAGAAUCGCAAGCGGUUACUGCAACUCGGUGUGACCGAACAGUUCAAAUUAGUUGCACCGAGAUUCAAAACCUAGAUCAACUCAAUGAACUCGGUAUGACCAAAAUCGAUGAAUCGGUCAGACCAAAGUACACAGAGAGGUUUUGGAAGUUUAAGUCUAUGACGAAUCGGUUGCUCUGAGUGCUCCUCACCCAGAGGGUUCGAAUCUGACUUGAUCAAACUUUGUGAUGUAGCAUGCAUAGAGUUUGAGACGAGAAAAGCAUAGAUAGCUAGAGGGAGUUCUUAGGCAUUCUUGUCCAUCCAUUUGGCAAAAGAAAAGCCCAAACAAUCGAAGCAACAAAUGGAUGUCCUCGAAUGAGAAAAAUAUGCAAUCAACAUGCUCACACAAUAAGAUGGCAAAUGAAAUAUGUGGCAAAGCAUGCACAAACACUCUAGCAUCUAUCAAGCAAUUGGCGAUGACUAGGUCAUCUAUAUAUGAGUGUAUUGACUGAGGAGUCAAAUGAGAACAUUUUAUCGUAGGUCAUACUCAUCGUUUAAGCACAAGUGGGGUUACCAAUUUUACAUAAAGCAUUGUUGUGUUCACACCAUUAGAGUUGCAUUAGCUAAAUUCUUAGAGUAAAGCUCCCCCUAGAUGUGAUAUCCCCCUAAGAGGGAUGAGCUAACCUUGGGUUUUGUCGAUGAUGACUUCAUGUAGAUGUUGAAGAUGUAGAUGCUCAAUGUUGAUGUAGAUUAUUUGGAGCAAUCCAUUGGAGUGAGUUGCACUUUCAAUACCUACAUGGGUUAGUCCCACAAGGAACAAACAAGGAUAUCCAUACACAUAGAGUGAAGUACACAUAGGACGAUUUCCAUGAAAGCAUUAGGUUACUGUAGGAUCGAAAAGUAUGUCUAGAGGGGGGGGUGAUUAGAAUACUUGACCAAAUAAAAAUCUAGCCUUUUCCCAAUUUUAAGUCUUGGCAGUUUUUAGCAACUUUGCAUAAGUCAAGCAAUCAACCUACACAUCCAAUUCUAAGAGUAUAGCAGCGGAAUGUAAAACAAUUGCAUAUGAAGGUAAAGGGAGGAGUUUGGAGGGAGCAAACGCAAUGUAGACACGGAGAUUUUUUAUCCGUGGUUCCGAUAGGUGGUGCUAUCGUACAUCCACGUUGAUGGAGACUUCAACCCACGAAGGGUAACGGUUGCGCGAGUCCACGGAGGUCUCCACCCACGAAGGGUCCACGAAGAAGCAACCUUGUCUAUCCCACCAUGGCCAUCGCCCACGAAGGACUUGCCUCACUAGGGUAGAUCAUCACAAAGUAGGCGAUCUCCUUGCCCUUACAAACUCCUUGGUUCAACUCCACAAUAUUGACGGAGGCUCCCAAGUGACACCUAACCAAUCUAGGAGACACCACUCUCCAAGAGGUAAUAGAUGGUGUGUUGAUGAUGAACUCCUUGCUCUUGUGCUUCAAAUGAUAGUCUCCCCAACACUCAACUCUCUCUCAUAGGAUUGGAUUUGGUGGAAAGAUGAUUUGAGUGGAAAGCAACUUGCGGAAGGCUAGAGAUCAAGAUUUAUGUGGUUGGAAUGGAAUAUCUUGACCUCAACACAAGUGUAGGUUGUUCUCUCUCAGAAAUUGUAUGUUGGAAGUUUAGGCAUGUUCUGAUGGCUCUCUCCACGAAUGAAGAGUGGGUGGAGGGGUAUAUAUAGCCUCCACACAAAAGCUAACCGUUACACACAAUUUACCAAACUCGGUGGGACCGAUUCAGAGAACUCGGUCAGACCGAUUUAGUUCAAAAUGUGAAUGUUAGGAUUUUCGGUGGGACCGACAUGUCAACUUGGUGGGACCGAUGUCAUUAGGGUUAGGGCAUAACGUAAUCUCGGUGAGACCGAUUACACAAACUCGGUUGGACCGAUUUUGGUAACAAGCUAACCAGAGAGUUGGUCAGGCAAACUUGGUGGGACCGAUUCGCUCAUUUUGGUUGGACCGAAACGUUACGAAGGAGAAACAGAGAGUUUGCAUUGCAAUCUCGGUGGGACCGAUCGCUCAUCUCGGGGACCAAAACAUUACAAAGGGAAACAGAGAGAUUACAAUCCCAUCUUGGUGAGACCGAGAUCCCUAUCGGUGAGACCAAAAAGACUAGGGUUUGUGGCAGUGGCUAUGUCAAGUGAACUCGGUGGCGCCGGAUAGAUCAAAUCGGUGGGGCCGAGUUUGACUUUUGGUUUGGGACAUAAGUGGAUAUGAGAAAGUAGUUGAGGGUUUUUUGGAGCAUAUCACUAAGCAUUUUGAGCAAGAAACUCAUUAAGCAACACCUCACCCCCUCUUAAUAGUAUUAGCUUUUCCUAUGGACUCAAUGUGAUCUUGGAUCACUAAAAAUAAAAUGUUGAGUCUUGUGCUUUGAGCUUGAGCCAAUCCUUUUGUCCUUAGCAUUUUGAGGGGUCCACUUUCUUAACCCAUGCCAUGCCAAUCAUUGAGCUUUCCUGAAAUAUUUAUCUUGAAAUAGCAUUAGCUCAAUGAGCUAUAUGUUGUUAGGAAUUACCAAAACCACCCAGGGAUAGUUGCACUUUCAAUCCCCCCCUUUUUGGUAGUUGAUGACAACAUAUAGACCAAAGCUUCGAAAAAUGAUCAUAAGAUUGAAAAACAUCGUCGCUUUGAGAAGUAUGUGAUAAGCAAGAGCUCCCCCUAAAUUUGUGCAUUAUUUAAAAUUUGCUUUUGAAUGCAAAUGCACAAUCGAUUAGGAUCAUGGGUUACUCUUCCAUGUCAAAUACAUCUUGGUGGAGCGCUGAAAAUGAUAGAAAUUGAAAGCAUGCACUCAUCACCAAGCCAGUGAAUGAUCAUAUAAGGAUAUAAUAGAUAGUAUCAUCCAACAACCAUUAAGGUAGCAUAUUAUCAAACACAUGAUCAAACAAGUAUCUCACAAGGACAUAAAGUAUCUCACACAAGCACACAAUCGAGAAGUUCAACCAAAAUAGCAAGAGAGAUAAAAAGCAACACUCUCUCUCGAAGCCUAUGAUCUAUACAUCUCCCCCUUUGGCAACAAGUUACCAAAAAGCUAAAAAAUGCAUAGUGCUAAACGUCUCUCAGGCUUGAUCUUUGGGAGGUGGUGUAGAGAGAACUCCAAGGACCAAGGCAUCCGUUGAUGUAGCUGGAGCUGGUGGAGUGGCUGCGGGAGGUGGCACUGGAGCUGUAGCUGCUGGUGCUGAUGCUGUAGCUCUAGAAUCUCUCACUGAUACUGCAGCAGACCUCUGUCCUCUAGGCACUCGCUCAAAUGCAUCAGUAGUUGCCUUGCCUUUCUUCUCUUCUAUUUCCUCCUGAAGCUGCUCAACUGCUGUUUGAAUCUCAGUUACCUUCAGAUCAAGAUCAUAAAAUUUGGUUUCUAUGAUCCUCUCCAAGCUCUCCUGGUUUUGAGUCAGGGUGGCCAAGCCCUUCUCAAUCCUCAGUGUCGACUGGAUCAGAUAUGCAAGUUGAUCUUGCUUGCUCUUCAGGAAAAUUUGAGAUGCCUCUUCAACACUUGGCAUCUUGGCAGCUUUCUCAGCCUUUGCUUUGGCUCUCUUCUCCUGUGCUUGAAUAGAUGUGGGGUCUUCCUCAUUCAUCACGACAGUGUUGUCUUCAAAACAGGAUGCAAAGGAAGGUGCUCCUUGUCGAACAGAUAUGUUCCUGUGCCCAUCUUGGAGUUGAUGAGCUCCUGAAUGUGUGGAGCAUACCCACAGCUUCUCUUCUGAUCAGCAGCUAUCCUCUUGAUUGUUUCCACAAUCAAACUCAUAACCUUGAACUUCUGAGGCACAUCAAACAAGUGUAGCAAAUUGAUAGCAUGUCCUCUGAUCAUCUUGUGAUCUCCAGACUUGGGUAGCAAUUAGUGCCUAAGGAUCCAGUUGAUGGUAGGCAGACCAGAUGUAGCGACCAGACCUCAAACAGUCUGUGCUCUGUGCACCAGUGCCAUCCCUGGAUCAGUAAUGCUGACACGCACAGUACUUGGAGGAUUUAUAACAGAGUAGCAAUCACACACUUAUUACAAAGUAUGCACCUUACGAUCAGUAAUGCUGACACGCACAGUACUUGGAGGAUUUAUAACAGAGUAGCAAUCAGUAAUGCUGACACGCACAAUACUUGAGAAACGGAUGACCGAGACAUAGUCUUUCAGAAAUGUUUGCACCUUACGACCGGGUAGACCGUACCACCUACAUCCCCUACAUCUGCUAGUCUACCACUGUAAGAGUUCACACGACUUAAUCAACAAUGCUAGAGCCCAUAAUAGCUUGUGGCUGCACACAGAAGUUUCUAGCAUGAAUAAUCUCAUGAUCCCUUUGAGCUUGGGUGGCGGUCCAUAAAAGAAACAGGCAAUCACUGGAAUACCCAGGUGCCUCAAUCCACCCAGAUGUGUGUUUAAGUUGCCACCUUAAGUAAACCAUUAAUUACAAUCUCACAUCUGUCAUGGAUACACUCACCCAAUCCACGUCUACUAGCAUAGCAUAGCAAUAUGAGCAAACGUAGAAGUAACUCCCAAAGGUUUGAUAAUAAAACAGGUAAUAGGUACUACCUCAUCUACUUCCCGAUUCCCACAAUUUAAUUAGAUCCUAAUCAUGCAAUGUUUGAGGAUUGAUCAAAUGCAAUAAAACUGGGUAGUAAAGAGGUGUGAUCAAAGUGUUACUUGCCUUGCUGAUGAUCCGUGAAACCUAGAGAUUCGAAGUAGCAAGCGGCGCAUUCCGGGUACUCUAUCACAAACAAACAAGCAUACAAUAAGCACUCAUCUAAUGCACAAGCAAAACUCAAAUAAAAGAUCUAACCAGAAAGUUCAACUUAAGAACUCCAGUUUGCAAAAAGAAUCAAAUCAAAUGAAGCAACAAAAGUCAAACGGCAAAAGAAACAAGCUUCGUUUACUAAUCUGGAUCUAGGUCAAAUUUUACAGUAGCAAAAACUUGUUUGAGUUGGUUAAACGGAAAGAGAAUUUUGAGAUGAAACUCUAGGCGCUUGAAUCGCCUGAUUCCGAUAAACGAGCGAAAAGUUAUACUAGAAGGAAAAAUCGGAUCAGAAAUCGCGAUCUGGAAUAAUCGCGGAAAAUCCGAGAAAAAGAAAAACUGAUGAACAGUUUAACGAACGGACAUUCGUUAACUGCAACUAAACGAUGAACGCGUUUGUUAAAAUGAACGAACGAGCGAAUGCUUGCUAUUUAACUAAACCGAGAAAAAUAAAUAAACCGAUCUAAUAAAUAAGAAAAAACCUAGGGUUUUCUAAAAAAACCCGAAUCGGUUUUCUUUGGAAAACCGGGCGGCUACCUCGGCUCGGGGCUCCAGCGAAGUCCGGCGGCUCCGGGGGGCGACGGGGCUGCGGGCGUCGGCGUCGGGCGUCGGGACGGGCGGCGGUGGCGACGGCGUCNNNNNNNNNNNNNNNNNNNNNNNNNNNNNNNNNNNNNNNNNNNNNNNNNNNNNNNNNNNNNNNNNNNNNNNNNNNNNNNNNNNNNNNNNNNNNNNNNNNNNNNNNNNNNNNNNNNNNNNNNNNNNNNNNNNNNNNNNNNNNNNNNNNNNNNNNNNNNNNNNNNNNNNNNNNNNNNNNNNNNNNNNNNNNCGAUCUGGAGACGACGGCGGAAGGCGGUGGCGCUGCGGGCCGGCCUGGCUCGGCUGGGCUUCGGCCCAGUUGGGCGCGCGGUUUUUUUAAAAUAAUUUCCCACAGAAAAACAAACAAAAGAAAUACUAAACGAACUCCAAAAAUCCCGAAAUGAAUUUUCCCCAACUUCUAAAAUCAAGCCGGACAAGAUGAACAUUUAUUUGGGGCCUAUAUGCAAUUUUGAAAAACGCGCAUUUUUCCUAGCCAAAUAAAAUAGCGAAAAACUCCAAAAUAAAAUCUUAUUUGAUUUUUUUAUUAAAUCCUCAAUAUUCCUUUAUUUUUGGAAAGUCAUUUUAUUCCCUCUCUCAUAUUGUUAUAAUUGGAAUAAUUGAAGAUAAAAUAAAUAAAAUCAAAUGAUCCUAUUUUCAAAAUUUGAGAAAACUCAAAUAUGAAAAUAACGAAAUUCCCAACUCUCUCCUGUGGGUCCUUGAGUUGCGUAGAAUUUUCUAGGAUCUAGCCAAAAUGCAAUAAAAUAUGAUAUGCAAUGAUGAUCUAAUGUAUAACAUUCCAAAUUGAAAAUUUGGGAUGUUACGAACCUACCCCCUUCAGAUGAAUCUCGCCCUCGAGAUUCGGGUUGGCUAGAAAAUAGGUGAGGGUGGUCCUUCCGUAGAUCUUCCUCUCGUUCCCAGGUGGCUUCAUCUUCGGUGUGGUGGCUCCACUGAACUUUGCAGAACUUGAUAACCUUGCUGCGCAUGACUCGACUGGCAUACUCGAGAAUCUUGACUGGUUUCUCCUCAUAAGUCAAAUCACUAUCCAACUGAAUCGCUUCCAGUGGCACUGUAUCUCUCAGCGUUAUAUCAGCCAUCUCUGCGUGGCACUUCUUCAACUGGGAAACGUGGAACACAUCGUGAACUCCUGACAAUACUUCGGGUAAUUCCAACUUGUAAGCAACUUCUCCCAUACGCUCCAAAACUUUGUAUGGUCCUACAAAACGUGGCGCUAAUUUUCCUUUAACUCCAAAGCGCUUAACUCCUCGAAGUGGGGACACACGAAGAUAAACUCUGUCUCCGACUUCGUAAACUGUCUCCUUGCGUUUAGAAUCCGCAUAGCUCUUUUGCCUGGAUUGGGCUACCUUGAGCCUAUCGCGAAUCAAUUUCACCUUCUGUUCUGAUUCCUUAAUCAAAUCUGGUCCAAACAACUAGCGGUCUCCAACUUCGUCCCAUAACAAUGGUGUUCUACACCUCCUUCCGUUCAAAGCUUCGAAAGGGGCCAUCUUCAAACUGGUUUGAUAGCUGUUGUUGUAAGAGAACUCUACAUAUGGCAAGUUAUCGUCCCAACUAGAUCCAUAAUCUAGCGCACAAGCUCUCAGCAUGUCCUCCAAAAUCUGAUUGACUCUCUCAGUCUGUCCAUCUGUCUAUGGAUGAAAAGCUGUACUGAAUUCUAGCCUGGUUCCCAAAGUUUCAUGUAACUGAUUCUAGAACUUUGAGGUAAACUGGGUUCCUCUAUCUGAUACAAUGCUCCUCGGAACUCCAUGCAGACAUACGAUUCUGGUCAUGUAUAUCUUUGACAACUUAGCAUCGGUGUAAGUGGUCUUUACUGGGAUGAAAUGAGCUACCUUCGUCAAACGAUCGACUACAACCCAUAUUGAGUCAUAGCCUGAACGAGUCCUGGGCAAUCCCGUGAUACAUGCCUAGUUUAUCCCACUUCCAUUCGGGUAUCAGCAAUGGCUGUAGCAAUCCUGCUGGCUUCUGGUGCUCUGCCUUCACUUUCUGACAUACAUCACAAACUGCUACAUAUUCCGCAAUAUCCUUCUUCAUUCCGGUCCACCAGAAAGUAUCCUUCAAAUCCAAAUACAUCUUGGUAUUUCCUGGGUGAAUCGAAUACGGCAAAUCAUGGGCCUCUUGCAAGAUCAACUUCCUGAUCUCCGGAUCAUUGGGCACAUAAACGCGGUCCUCAAACCAUAAGGUAUCGUGCUCAUCCUCGCGAAAUCCCUUGGCUUUUCCUUUGCUCAUCUUUUCCUUUAUCUCAGCAAUCUCCUUGUCUGCCUUCUGGGCUUCUCUGAUCUUUUCCAUCAAGGUAGACUAAAUCUCCAAUGUUGCUACAUAGCCUCUCAGAACUAUUUCCAAACAUAGCUCGCGAAGAUCCUCGGCUAACUCCUGGGGUAACUCUCCUGUCAUGAGUGUGUUGACAUGGCUCUUGCGGCUCAACGCAUCAGCUACUACGUUAGCCUUUCCGGGGUGAUAAUGCAAUCUCAUAUCAUAAUCCUUUAUGAGCUCCAACCAUCUCCUUUGCCUGAGAUUCAACUCCUUCUGCGUGAAGAUGUAUUUCAAACUCUUGUGAUCCGUGUACACCUCACAGUGGUUUCCGAUGAGAAAAUGUCUCCAUGUCUUCAACGCAUGUACUACGGCUGCUAACUCCAAAUCAUGCGUAGCGUAAUUUAAUUCAUGAGGCUUAAGCUGUCGUGAAGCAUAUGAAACAACUCUUCCUUCCUGCAUAAGCACUGCUCCAAGUCCUCGACGAGAAGCAUCACAGUAAACUUCAUAAUCCUUGUGCUGAUCUGGCAGAAUCAACACUGGUGAUGUAACCAAACGUUCCUUCAACUCUUGGAAACUAGCCUCACAUUCCUCAGUCCAAUUGAACUUGGUGUCUUUCUUCAAUAACUCAGUCAUGGGCUUUGCAAUCUUCGAGAAAUUCUCAAUGAAUCUCCGGUAGUAUCCCGCGAGUCCAAGAAAACUCCGGAUCUCUCCAACUGACGUGGGUGAUUCCCAAUUUGUCACAGUGACAACUUUGGUGGGGUCUACUGCUAUUCCUUCUCCGGAUAUAACAUGUCCGAGGAAUCCAACUUCCUUCAACCAAAACUCACAUUUGCUGAACUUGGCGUAUAACUGAUGUUCUCUGAGCUUCUCAAGUACCAAACGCAAAUGUUCCUUAUGCUCCUCUUCAUUUUUCGAGUAGACUAAUAUGUCAUCAAUGAACACCACGACGAACUUAUCCAGAAACUCCAUAAACACUUUGUUCAUCAGGUUCAUGAAAUAGGCAGGUGCGUUAGUCAGACCAAAUGACAUAACGGUAUACUCGUACAACCCAUACCUGGUGUUAAAAGCCGUCUUAGGUAUAUCCUGCUCUCGAAUCUUCAACUGGUGGUAUCCUGAUCGCAGAUCGAUCUUGGAAAAUACCUUAGCUCCUUGUAAUCGAUCAAACAAAUCAUUGAUCAUCGGCAGUGGGUACUUGUUCUUGAUGGUCACUUCAUUCAGUCCUCGAUAAUCAACAACCAUCCUUAACGAUCCAUCCUUCUUCUCCACUAGGAGCACUGGCGAUCCCCAAGGUGAAGAACUUGGGCGAAUAUAGCCUUUAUCCAGCAACUCCUUAAUCUGCUUCUUAAUCUCCUCCAAAUCCUUUGCGGGCAUCCUGUACGGUCUCUUAGAUAGUGGCCCUGUGCCUAGCAAAAGCUCAAUCAAAAACUCAAUGUCUCUAUCCGGUGGCAUGCCUGGCAACUCCUCUGGAAAUACAUCAAGGAAAUCCUUCACCACCAGUACUUCCUCCUGUACAACUCCUGAUAAGGAAUUUACUUGAGUCCUCUUCUGCACAUGCCGGGAUACAUACUUAAUCCUUCUUCCUUCUGGGGUGGUAAGCAAAAUCGACUUACUGGCGCAUUCAAUGUUCCCUCCAUACUUCGAUAACCAAUCCAUGCCUAAUAUCACAUCCAGUCCUUGCGAUUCCAAUACUAUUAGGUCUGAGGGAAACACGUAGUUACCAAUCCUUAAUGGUAACCGAUCACACCAUAGACUAGCCAUAUACUCUACUCCUGGCGAGGUUACUAACAUGGGUGACCUAAGGGCUUGGGUUGGCAAUUUAUACUUAUCCACAAACCCCCUUGAUAUGUAUGAAUGCGAUGCACUAGUAUAAAAAAGAACGAGUGCAGUAAAUGACUUAACCAAAAACUUACCUAUUACUGCAUCAGGCUGUGCUUCAACGUCCUCCACGUAAACGUGGUUCACAUGUCCUUUAUUGAAAGGGUUAGGCUUCUUCUCAGAGCUUCCAUUUCCAUUUCCAUUUUUAGCUUCGGGACAUUCAUUAGCAUAAUGUCCAAUCUUCUGGUACUUGUAGCAAGUGACUUGGCUCAGAUCUCUCUUAGCUGGGGUCGAUGGGUUGUUACGGUUCUGUCCGUUGCUUCCUCCAUUCCCAUUACCAUUUUUGGGUCCACUAUGGUUGUGCGAACCUCCUCCAUGGGUAUGCUGAAAAGGUCCUCCCGAAUUCGGGGUAAAACGUGGCUUCUGAUGAGCUCCAGAAUUGUACUUCCCUUGUCCAUACUUCCUCUUGCGCCUUUCAAUCUGCUGCUGCUUCCCUUCAAUAAUUAGAGCUCUAUCUACCAACUCCUGGUAGUUGUUGAAGGUUGCUACCAUCAACUGCAUGCUCAGCUCAUCAUUCAGUCCUUCCAGAAACUUCUCCUGCUUGGCGGCAUCUGUAGCAACGUCAUCUGGGGCAUAACGUGCUAACUUACUAAAGUCCUCCACAUACUGGCCUACGGUGCGUCCUCCUUGGCAUAGGUUGUGAAACUCACGCUUCUUCAUAGCCAUAGCUCCUGCUGAAACAUGGGCAGUACGGAAAGCUUGCUGAAACUGAUCCCAUGUGACAGUGUCAAUAGGGUGUGUGGCUGUGUAAUUCUCCCACCAUGAUGCUGCGGGUCCAUCAAGCUGAUGUGCGGCAAAACGCACUCUCUCCGCAUCUGUGCAUCCUGCGGUGGUUAGCUCCCUCCCAACCUUGCGGAGCCAAUCAUCUGCAACAAUUGGCUCGGUGCUGCUGGAAAACACCGGCGGAUUCAACCUCAAGAAAUGGGCCAAAUGGUCAACAUGUGGUGGUGGCUUGUUGUUGUUGUUGUUGCCUUGGUUCUGUACUAACACUUGCAUUAGGGCAUUCUGCUGCUGAAUCAACUGAGUGAUCUCCGGUGGGAAAACAAAUCCGGUGUCGCGUCUCGGAGGCAUCUGAUGGGUUUAGAAAAGAUGAGAAUUUAGAAUAGAAUGAGAUCUAGAGGGAAAACACUACCCAUAUGCACAUGAGACAAACACGAUCAAUAUCACUCAUAUCAAUUCAAACAAGGCAUACAAUCGAUCUAACUAUCGUUACAAAGUGCUCGGACUAUACUAUAUACAUGGGGGAAAUACUACUACUGAUAUGGUGGUCUACUAGAAAUUUUGAUCGGUUGAAGACUCCAUGAUAUCUGCUCCAGCUUCAUCAACAAAGUCAUCUUCACUGGGGUCCGAGUCGGUGUCGUCGAUGAUGAUGUAGUUCUCCGGGCAAGUAGAAUCGUCGUCUUCUCCUCCUGGAGCUGGGUCUCCCAUGAAUACUCCGAUCUUCUUUUCCAAGUCGUCAUUUUUCUCCAACAACGUGGCGAUCUCCUCCUCAUAUCCAUCGCGCGUAGACUUGAGUUCUUCCUCCAACUCCGUGAUCUUGGUCAACGCCUUCUUCAGAUCUAUCAUGCCUGCGCACAUUUGGUUCUCCUGGCGACGAAUGUGCUGGUUUAACUCCUGGAUGAAAGCUGCAAUUGAUCUAUCCUUCUUGGUGCUGAUCAUCUCCCAUUGCUCAUCUCGGCGCCCACAAAUCUGGUAGAUAGUAUCCUUUAGCUCCUUGUGGUACACUUCUCCAAUGCGUCCCAUGGUGAUGUGGGCUGCCAUGCUCUUUCCUAGACUCCAAGUUGGUGCAUCAAAGGAAAACUCUAUAGGCUCAGUGACUGGCAUGAACGUCCUUCUUGGAACUUGAACUUGAAUCAUCCAGUGCUCUUAUUCUGGUAGUGUGGCGUUGUAGGUUCCGGUGAAGCUUGGAAUACCGAUGUUCAGAUAUCUAGUGACUUCCUUCAAGUGGCGUCCAAAAGGUGUUAUCUUCAUCUGGUUGCAUGAACUUGUUCCUUGCAUUCACCAUCCUAAAAGAGUAGAAAGUGGAGAGGAGUCAAAAAUGAGAAGAGAGUAGUGUUCUAGGGUUUAAGCUUAGUGGUCGUGUCCUACAGUCAGCAUGUGCUCUGACACCACCUUGUAGCGACCAGACCUCAAACAGUCUGUGCUCUGUGCACCAGUGUCAUCCCUGGAUCAGUAAUGCUGACACGCACAGUACUUGGAGGAUUUAUAACAGAGUAGCAAUCACACACUUAUUACAAAGUAUAUGGCUUAAGGCCAUCUAAAUACGAUAACAGCGGAAGACUUGGAAGAGAAGUGAGUCCAUCAACUCCAACGGCAUCACUGAGUAUAAGACCACGACCUACGGCACCUUACUCAUCGUCUGAAAAGUCUGCAACAUGAAACGUUGCAGCCCGAAAACGGGCCAGCACAUGGAAUAUGCUGGCAAUGUAACACAUAGAGAGUAAUGAACAGAAUAAGGCUGUCACUACAUGCAUAUUUGGUUGGUGGAAAGCUCUAUGGUUACCGUUUUUGCGAAAAGCCAAUUUUUCCCUACUGCAAAGAAAUAAAUUUUAUUUAACUAUCAUGGUGGUUGUUAAACAUUGAGAUGGUUGACAGCAUCUCAAUCCCAAUUAAGUAUCAUCCUUAACCCAACAAGAUUAAUCAAAGUAACAUGAUGAGAUUGACAUGAUAAUCCAAGUACUAGAUACUCAAGAUGUCCAUAACCGGGGACACGGCUAACCAUGAUUAGUUUAUACACUCUGCAGAGGUUUGUGCACUUUUCCCCACAAGACUCGAUCUCCUCUGUUAGGAUUCUCGCACUACAUGAUGUUUGAGAAACGGAUGACCGAGACAUAGUCUUUCAGAAGUGUUUGCACCUUACGAUCGGGUAGACCGUACAACCUACAUCCCCUACAUCUGCUAGCCUACCACUGUAAGAGUUCACACGACUUAAUCAACUAUGCUAGAGCCCAUAAUAGCUUGUGGCUGCACACGGAAGUUUCUAGCAUGAAUAAUCCCAUGAUCCCUUUGAGCCUGGGUGGCGGUCCAUAAAAGAAACAGGCAAUCACUGGAAUACCCAGGUGCCUCAAUCCACCCAGAUGUGUGUUUAAGUUGCCACCUUAAGUAAACCAUUCAUUACAAUCUCACAUCUGUCAUGGAUACACUCACCCAAUCCACGUCUACUAGCAUAGCAUAGCAAUAUGAGCAAACGUAGAAGUAAGUCCCAAAGAUUUGAUAAUAAAACAGGUAAUAGGUACUACCUCAUCUACUUCCCGAUUCCCACAAUUUAAUUAGAUCCUAAUCAUGCAAUGUUUGAGGAUUGAUCUAAUGCAAUAAAACUGGGUAGUAAAGAGGUAUGAUCAAAGUGUUACUUGCCUUGCUGAUGAUCCGUGAAACCUAGAGAUUCGAAGUAGCAAGCGGCGCACUCUGGGUACUCUAUUGCAAACAAACAAGCAUACAAUAAGCACUCAUCUAAUGCACAAGCAAAACUCAAAUAAAAGAUCUAACCAGAAAGUUCAACUUAAGAACUCCGGUUUGCAAAAAGAAUCAAAUCAAACGAAGCAACGAAAGUCAAACGGCGAAAGAAACAAGCUUCGUUUACUAAUCUGGAUCUAAGUCAAAUUUUACAGUAGCAAAAACUUGUUUGAGUUGGUUAAACGGAAAGAGAAUUUCGAGCCGAAACUCUAGGCGCUUGAAUCGCCUGAUUCCGAUAAACGAGCGAAAAGUUAUAUUAGAACGAAAAAUCGGAUCAGAAAUCGCGAUCUGGAAUAAUCGCGGAAAAUGCGAGAAAAAGAAAAACUGACGAACAGUUUAACGAACGGACGUUCGUUAACUGCAACUAAACGAUGAACGCGUUCGUUAAAACGAACGAACGAGCGAACGCUCGCUAUUUAACUAAAUCGAGAAAAAUAAAUAAACCGAUCUAAUAAAUAAGAAAAAACCUAGGGUUUUCUAAAAAAAACCGAAUCAGUUUUCAUUGGAAAACCGGGCGGCGGCGGCUACCUCGGCUCGGGGCUCCGGCGAAGUCCGGCGGCUCCGGGGGGCGACGGGAGGCGGCGUGGGGCGGCGGGGUUGCGGGCGUCGGCGGCGAGACGACGGGNNNNNNNNNNNNNNNNNNNNNNNNNNNNNNNNNNNNNNNNNNNNNNNNNNNNNNNNNNNNNNNNNNNNNNNNNNNNNNNNNNNNNNNNNNNNNNNNNNNNNNNNNNNNNNNNNNNNNNNNNNNNNNNNNNNNNNNNNNNNNNNNNNNNNNNNNNNNNNNNNNNNNNNNNNNNNNNNNNNNNNNNNNNNNNNNNNNNNNNNNNNNNNNNNNNNNNNNNNNNNNNNNNNNNNNNNNNNNNNNNNNNNNNNNNNNNNNNNNNNNNNNNNNNNNNNNNNNNNNNNNNNNNNNNNNNNNNNNNNNNNNNNNNNNNNNNNNNNNNNNNNNNNNNNNNNNNNNNNNNNNNNNNNNNNNNNNNNNNNNNNNNNNNNCGGUGGCGACAGCGUCGGGCGGUGGUGCGGCUCCCGCGGCGGGGCGGGUUCCGGCGGCGGGCUGCGGGUUUGGUGGCGGGGUGAGGGGCGGCGGCGGUGGCUAUUUAAGGGAGAGGGGGCGACGCGGCUUGGGGAAGGGGGCGCCUCGGGAGGCGUGCUCCUCCCAGACUCGGGCGGCGGCGGCGGUCUCCGAUCCGAAGACGACGGCGGAAGGUGGUGGCGCUGCGGGCCGGCCUGGCUCGGCUGGGCUUCGGCCCAGUCGGGCGCGCGGUUUUCUUUUAAAUAAUUUCGCGCAGAAAAACAAACAAAAGAAAUACUAAACGAACUCCAAAAAUCCCAAAAUAAAAUUUCCCCGAGUUCUAAAAUCAAGCCAGACAAGAUGAACAUUUAUUUGGGGCCUAAAUGCAAUUUUGGAAAACGCGCAUUUUUCCUAGCCAAAUAAAAUAGCGAAAAACUCCAAAAUAAAAUCUUAUUUGAUUUUUUUUAUUAAAUCCUCAAUAUUCCUUUAUUUUGGUAAAGUCAUUUUAUUCCCUCUCUCAUAUUGUUAUAAUUGGAAUAAUUGAAGAUAAAAUAAAUAAAAUCAAAUGAUCCUAUUUUCAAAAUUUGAGAAAACUCAAAUAUGAAAAUAACGAAAUUCCCAACUCUCUCCUGUGGGUCCUUGAGUUGCGUAGAAUUUUCUAGGAUCUAGCCAAAAUGCAAUAAAAUAUGAUAUGCAAUGAUGAUCUAAUGUAUAACAUUCCAAAUUAAAAAUUUGGGAUGUUACACCAGACAACAAGAAGUGUACAGAUCCAAGCUUGUGAGUCUCCAAAGCUUUAUAUGGGAUCUCUCUGUACAUGUGUGCCAUAGUGUUGUGGUCUUUCUUCUUGGUGGCAUACACAUCCAAGUCAUCUUCAUGUUCUUCAGGGUCAUUGAUCAGCUUGGCCCAUUCUUCAACUGUGGAUUGGUAUCUAGUACCUUCUGACAUCCAAACUAUCUUCCCAUCUGGGUAACAGUGAGCAGUGGAGUAAAACUGCAUGAUCAGCUCAUCAUUCCAUUUUUUGAGCUUCUGAGCCACAAAUUUAUCAACUCCACAUGAUUUGAAGCUGUCAUAAACUCCUGGAAAGUGAUCUUCAUUCUCUUUGAUGAAUUCCUAAUCCACCCAUCUCAUGUCACAUACAAUGGGCUUCUUGUCAAGCAAAAUGGUUUCAUAGAAAUCUUGUUGUUCCUUUGUGUGAAACAUGUAAUCAACUGUAGUCCUCCUCCUCACAGCAUAAGGAUCAGACUGUCUCCACAGUCUCAGUCCAGCAUCUUUUAUGAUGGGCAUGUCUUCAGCCACUGGAUGAGCAUCAUUGUGGUCUGGAAUCUUGGGCUUCAACUUCCUCAAAACAAGUGAAUCAUCUUCUUCUUCUUCUUCAGCUUCAGGCACUGGGGCCUUGUUCUUUUCCUCAACGGGUAUACUUCUAGUGUUUCUCUUGGGUUUUGGGGGCUUCUGAGUUUGAGCUUUGGGAGCAGACUUGGGCUUUGAUGGAGCAGCACCUGAUCUGAUUGCAUCUCCCAUAAGCUUAUGAGCUUUGGGUGCUGGUGCAGCAUCCUCUUCCUCUUCCUCUUCUCCUUCAGAAUGUCUCUUCAUUGAGGGUUUGCCAAGAACUCUGGCUGUUGUAGUUCUUGCCCUCUUCUUCUUCUUGUCCUCACCAGCUGCUUCUUCUUCAGAUUCAAUGGUGAACUUCAUAGUUUCUCCUGUUGCAACCUUCCUUGGCUUGGACAUUGGCACUCUUCUUGCUGGAGCCUUUGUUUUCAUUCCGGGCUUACUUGCAGCAGCUGUGCCAUACUCCUUUUUCAGCACCUUUUUCCUUGAAGUGGCCUCAUCCUCAACAGCCACAUAAUCCUCAUCCUCAGAAUCUGAGGUUCUCUUUUUCCUUGUCCUGGUGGCUGCCUUUGGCAAGUUACUGGGUGUGCUCCUACUGCCCUCAUCAUAGUUGCUGGAGGGACUAGUGCCCUCACUCAUUUGAACCUGCUCUUCAGACUUGUUCUGGCUGUCACUUUGAUCAAACAUCUCUGCAAACUAUUUGACAGUAGACCCUAUGGAUGGAUGUAGAUGAGGUAGAGUGGAUGAGCAUCACAAAGUGCAGAGUUUUUUUUUUGCAAAAUAGAUGACUUAAAAACUUAGUUUUAGUUCUUCACAGAAAGCAUUUUGGAUCUACCGAUUUGUAAACUCGGUGAUACCGAAGCAGCUUUUGGAACCUAAACUAGUGAACUCGGUCAGACCGAGUCAUAGUUCGGUGGCACCGAGACUGCUAGGGUUUCACAGAGAAUCGAACUCGGUCACACCGAUUUGCAAUUUUCGGUCAGACCAAAAACGCAUGUGCAAUGGCCUAAGCCAAAUCGGUGAGACCGAUUUCUACAACUCGGUCGGUCCGAGAUGAGUUCGGCAGAGACCUAACCCUAAAUUUUCAAAUCAAAUCUAAUCUACUGGAUGCUUUCGCUGGACAGGAUGAUUUCUUACAUGGCAAGAAUCAUGGCAAAGCAAUGUGCUACGAAUCGGAGUUAAGGAAUAGCACAAAGAUCAAGUUCAUACCCUACUUUGGCAGUAAACUUGCUACGGCAGCAACGGCGGGGCAGAUUGCCGUUGACGGUGGCAGAGACCAGCGGCGGGAGGUCGCUGACGGCGAGAGGACGAUCCGGAGACCCGAGGAGGCAGAGCAGGUCACGCGCGGGUGAAAGGUUUUGGAAAACAUUCCAAAAUUUGACCCGUCAGUAUAUAUAACCUGACCCUGUCGGUGUGACCGAGUGCAACAACUCACUGGCACCGAGAUGCAAAACUAUGAGCAGUUACCGCAACUCGGUGUGACCGAAAAGUUCUAAUCGGUUGCACCGAGAUUGAAAACCUAGAUCAACUUAGUGAUCUCGGUAUGACCGAAAAGGGUGAAUCGGUCAGACCAAAAUGCACAAAGAGGUUUUGGAAGUUUAAGUCUAUGACGAAUCGGGGACUCCGAGUGCUCCUCACACAAAGUGGUUCGAAUCUGACUUGAUCAAACUUUGUGAUGUAGCAUGAAUAGAGUUUGAGAUGAGAAAAUCAUAUAUAGCUAGCGGGAGUUCUUAGGCAUUCUUGUCCAUCCAUUUGGCAAAAGAAAAAACAAAUCAAACAAAACAACAAAUGUAUGUCCUCGAAUGAGUAAAAUAUGCAUCCAACAUGCUCACACAAUAAAAUGACAAAUGAAAUAUGUGACAAAGCAUGCACAAACACUCUAGCAUCUAUCAAGCAAUUUGGCGAUGACUAGGUCAUCUAUAUAUGAGUAUAUUGACUUAGGAGUCAAAUGAGAACAUUUGAUCAUAGGUCAUACUCAUCGUUUAAGCACAAGUGGGGUUACCACUUUUACAUAAAGCAUUGUUGUGCUCACACCAUUAGAGUUGCUUUAGCUCAAUUGAUUAGAGUAAAGCUCCCCCUAGAUGUGAUAUCCCCCCUAAGAGGGAUGAACUAACCUUGGGUUUUGUCGAUGAUGACUUCAUGUAGGUGUUGAGAUGUGGACGCUCAAUGUUGACGUAGAUCAUUCGGAGCAAUCCAUUGGAGUGAGUUGCACUUUCAAUACCUACACGGGUUAGUCCCACAAGGAACAAGCAAGGAUAUCCAUAGACAUAGAGUGAUGUUCACACAAGAUGAUGUCCAUGAAAGCAUUAGGUUACCUUGUCCCUUGUCUUACCAACAAGAGGGUUUGUGACUCCUUGAACUAGUGCAAGAUAUGGAACUUGUUUGCACUUGUCAUUGCCAAAAUGAUAAGAGUGAAGUAUGUUGGCGGAGUCAACCUCAAGGACUCUCUAGUUCUUCUUCUUCGGGAUCCACACCAUCUUGAUGGGAAUCCUUGGAGUUGUAGUCGUACUUGAUGAAGUGGAACUUGAUGUAGUCUUGGGAUCCCACUUGACCAAUGCCUUAGGAGCUUCUUCAAAUGCAUCAAUCUCCUCUUGAAGCUUGUCCUUGCCUUUUUGCUUGUGGUCUUGUGGUGGAAGAUCAUCUUGAGCUUGUGUUCCUUUGAAAGAAGUAGGAUCAUACUUGUUGAGGAACAAACUUCGUCUUGGGGUAUUGAUCUUCUUCCCACUCAACUCCAUUGGCAUUGAACUUUCGUUCAAAACCAACACCUUGAUUCUUCCGGUGUCUUCCUUGCUUGCAUACAAUUUCCUCAAAUUGCUUACUUCCGGCAAGACUCUUGUAAACACCUUUCUCUAUAAUUCCCUUCAAUAAGAUAUUUUCUUGCUCAAGUGUAAAUUGGCUAAGAGAAUCAUUAGUGGAAUCAAGAGAACUACUAGAAGCAACAAUAUUGCAUUUUGCAUGAUUGUUGUUACUACUAGAGGAAGAAUCUUUCUUGUUCUUGUUGCUAGAUUUAACUUGUGGCAUGUAAGUAGACAAGAGUAAAUGCUUGGCAAUGUAAUAAGAACUUUUCUUGCGAAGAUCAUCAUUGAUUGCUUUUAAGAACUCAUGCUCUUGCUCAAGGUAAAAAAAGGUUGAGCUUUUCAAAGCGUAGCUUCUCAUGAGUCUUUAAAAGUGCUCGAUGAUCUUCCAAGGUAGUUUCAUGAGCUAACUUAAGAGUGUUUAGUUCUUUAGUUAAACGCUCAAUCUCCUUCUUAUCAUCGUCAUUCAUUUUAUCUUGAUUAUCAUGAUUAAUAGCAAGUUCAUCAUAGUUCUCAUCACUAGAGUUGUCAACAAGUAAAUCAUCAUCUCCUAGCAAAUCAUCUUCAUCACUAUUGAAAUCAACAUAAUCGGGGUGUGUUACCUUUGGACCUUUAGCCAUAAAGCAUCUCCCAAUUCCUUCAUUUGGUGAGUCAAAUAUGUCGUAGGAGUUGGUUGUCACAAGUGCUAGUCCGGCAACACCUUCAUCUUGAGUAUAUUUGGAGUCGGAGUGAUAACUUCUUUCCGAGUGAUGGCCGGAGUCGGAACCGGAUACCCAUUCACCAACAUGAGCUUGAUGUCUUCUUUUUGUGUAGCUCCUAGAUGACUUGUCCUUCCACUUCGAAUCCUUGCUUCUCCGAGAGGGUCUUCGUUCAUAACGAUCAUCUCUACUCCUUCUCUCUCUUGGUGGUGAUUCUUCUCUCCUACUCCUUCUUUUGGGAGAAUCUUCUCUUCUUUUGAAGGGAGCCGUACACUCAUUGGAAUAGUGUCUGGGUCUUCCACAAUUGUAGCAAUUACGCUCACGACUAGAAGAUCUUUUGUCAUUGUAGGACCUUGACUUGGAACUUCUUUCCUUGCUUCUACUCUUGUAGAACUUGUUGAAGUUGUUUACCAUUAGGCUCAAUUCUUCGUUGAAGGUUUGUUUCUCACUUGAUGAUAUGGGAGCAUCACAUGAGGCUUUGUAAGCACCACUUGACUUGUUGUGGAGCUCUUCCUUAUCCUUGAGUGACAUCUCAUGAGCAACAAUUCUUCCAAUGACUUCCGUUGGCUUGAGAUCUUUGUAAUUGGGAAUCAUUUGGAUCAAUGUGCACACGGUAUCAUAUUUUCCUUGCAAGGCUCUUAGGAUCUUCUUGAUGAUGAAUCUAUCGGCCAUCUCUUCACUUCCUAAGCCGGCAAUCUCAUUUGCGAUGAGAGCAAGCCUAGAGUACAUUUCAGCGACACCUUCACCAUCCUUCAUUUUGAUCUUGUCAAGUUGACUUUGAAGCACAUCCAAUUUGGAUUCCUUGACGGAGUCGGUACCUUCGUGCAUAUCAAUCAAAGUAUCCCAAAUUUCCUUUGCAUUCUCAAGACGACUGAUUUUGUUGAAUUCUUCGGGGCACAAUCCGUUGAAGAGAAUAUCACACGCUUGAAUAUUGUAUUGCAGCAUCUUCAACUCUUCCGCGGUAGCUUCACGGUUCGGUUCUCUCCUAUCACAGAAUUCGCCUUGCAAGCCAAUACACACAAUAGCCCAAACGGCGGGGUUAUGUCCAAGAAUAUGCAUUUUCAUCUUAUGCUUCCAACUAGCAAAAUUAGUUCCAUCAAAGUAAGGACCUCUAGGUGGUAAUUUCCCUCACUAGACGCCAUACUCUCCUAGGUUGUGAAACCAAGGCUAUGACCACCAAAAGCUAUGGAAAUCAAAGCAAAUGGAGACCAAAGCUCUGAUACCACUUGUAGGAUCGAAAAGUAUGUCUAGAGGGGGGGUGAUUAGACUACUUGACCAAAUAAAAAUCUAGCCUUUUCCCAAUUUUAAGUCUUGGCAGAUUUUAGCAACUUUUCAUAAGUCAAGCAAUCAACCUACACAUCCAAUUCUAAGAGUAUAGCAGUGGAAUGUAAAACAAUUGCAUAUGAAGGUAAAGGGAGGAGUUUGGAGGGAGCAAACGCAAUGUAGACACGGAGAUUUUUUAUCCGUGGUUCCGAUAGGUGGUGCUAUCGUACAUCCACGUUGAUGGAGACUUCAAUCCAGGAAGGUUAACGGUUGCGCGAGUCCACGGAGGGCUCCACCCACGAAGGGUCCACGAAGAAGUAACCUUGUCUAUCCCACCAUGGCCGUCGCCCACGAAGGACUUGCCUCACUAGGGUAGAUCUUCACGAAGUAGGCGAUCUCCUUGCCCUUACAAACUCCUUGGUUCAACUCCACAAUCUUGACGGAGGCUCCCAAGUGACACCUAACCAAUCCAGGAGACACCACUCUUGAAGAGGUAAUAGAUGGUGUGUUGUGAUGAACUCCUUGCUCUUGUGCUUGAAAUGAUAGUCUCCCCAACACUCAACUCUCUCUCAUAGGAUUGGAUUUGGUGGAAAGAUGAUUUGAGUGGAAAGCAACUUGGGGAAGGCUAGAGAUCAAGAUUUAUGUGGUUGGAAUGGAAUAUCUUGACCUCGACACAAGUGUAGGUGGUUCUCUCUCAGAAAUUGUAUGUUGUAAGUUUAGGCAUGUUCUGAUGGCUCUCUCCACGAAUGAAGAGUGAGUGGAGGGGUAUAUAUAGCCUCCACACAAAAUCUAACCGUUACACACAAUUUACCAAACUCGAUGGGACCGAUUCAGACAACUCGGUCAGACCAAUUUAGUUCAAAAUGUGAGCGUUAGGAUUUUUGGUGGGACUGAUGUCAUUAGGGUUAGGGCAUAACUUAAUCUCGGUGAGACGGAUUACACAAACUCGGUUGGACCGAUUUUGGUAAUAAGCUAACCAGAGAGUUGGCAUGCAAACUCGGUGGGAACUAUUCGUUCAUUUCGGUUGGACCGAAACGUUACGAAGGGGAAAUAGAGAGUUUGCAUUGCAAUCUCGGUGGGACUGAUCGCUCAUCUCGGUUGGACCGAAAUGUUACGAAGGGAAACAGAGAGAUUACAAUCCCAUCUCGGUGAGACCGAGACCCCUAUCGGUGAGACCGAAAAGACUAGGGUUUGUGGCAGUGGCUAUGUCAAGUGAACUCGGUGGCGCCGGAUAGAUCAACUCGGUGGGGCCGAGUUUGACUUUUGGUUUGGGACAUAAGUGGAUAUGAUAAAGUAGUUGAGGGUUUUUUGGAGCAUAUCACUAAGCAUUUUGAGCAAGAAACUCAUUAAGCAACACCUCACCCCCUCUUAAUUGUAUUGGCUUUUCCUAUGGACUCAAUGUGAUCUUGGAUCACUAAAAUUAAAAUGUAGAGUCUUGUGCUUUGAGCUUGAGCCAAUCCUUUUGUCCUUAGCAUUUUGAGGGGUCCACUUUCUUAACCCAUGCCAUGCCAAUCAUUGAGCUUUCCUGAAAUAUUUAUCUUGAAAUGGCAUUAGCUCAAUGAGCUAUAUGUUGUUAGGAAUUACCAAAACCACCUAGGGAUAGUUGCACUUUCAGUUACCUUGUCCCUUGACUUACCAACAAGAGGGUUUGUGACUCCUUGAACUAGUGCAAGAUAUGGAAGUUGUUUGCACUUGUCAUUGCCAAAAUGAUAAGAGUGAAGUAUGUUGGCGGAGUCACCCUCAUGGACUCUCUAGUUCUUCUUCUUCGGGAUCCACACCAUUUUGAUGGGAAUCCUUGGAGUUGUAGUCGUACUUGAUGAAGGGAACUUGAUGUAGUCUUGGGAUCCCACUUGACCAAUGCCUUAGGAGCUUCUUCAAAUGCAUCAAUCUCCUCUUGAAGCUUGUCCUUGCCUUUUUGCUUGUGGUCUUGUGGUGGAAGAUCAUCUUGAUCUUGUGUUCCUUUGAAAGAAGUAGGAUCAUACUUCUCUUGUUGAGGAACAAACUUCGUCUUGGGGUAUUGAUCUUCUUCCCACUCAACUCCAUUGGCAUUGAACUUUCGUUCAAAACCAACACCUUGAUUCUUCCGGUGUCUUCCUUGCUUGCGUACAAUUUCCUAAAAUUGCUUACUUCCGGCAAGACUCUUGUAAACACCUUUCUCUAUAAUUCCCUUCAAUAAGCUAUUUUCUUGCUCAAGUGUAACUUGGAUAAGAGAAUCAUUAGUGGAAUCAAGAGAACUACUAGAAGCAACAAAAUUGCAUUUUGCAUGAUUGUUGUUACUACUAGAGGAAGAAUCUUUCUUGUUCUUGUUGCUAGAUUUAACUUGUGGCAUGUAAGUAGACAAGAGUAAACGCUUGGCAAUGUAAGAAGAACUUUUCUUGCGAAGAUCAUCAUUGAUUGCUUUUAAGAAGUCAUGCUCUUGCUCAAGGUUGAGCUUUUCAAAGCGUAGCUUCUCAUGAGUCUUUAAAAGUUCUUGAUGAUCUUCCAAGGUAGUUUCAUGAGCUAACUUAAGAGUGUUUAGUUCUUUAGUUAAAUGCUCAAUCUCCUUCUUAUCAUUGUCAUUCGUUUUAUCUUGAUUAUCAUGAUUAAUAGCAAGUUCAUCAUAGUUCUCAUCACUAGAGUUGUCAACAAGUAAAUCAUCAUCUCCUAGCAAAUCAUCUUCAUCACUAUUGAAAUCAACAUACUCGGGGUGGGUUACCUUUGGACCUUUAGCCAUAAAGCAUCUCCCAAUUCCUUCAUUUGGUGAGUCAAAUAUGUCGUAGGAGUUUGUUGUCACAAGUGCUAGUCCGGAACCACCUUCAUCUUGAGCAUAUUCGGAGUCGGAGUGAUAACUUCUUUUCGAGUGAUGGUCGGAGUCGGAACCGGAUACCCAUUCAUCAACAUGACUUUGAUGUCUUCUUUUUGUGUAGCUCCUAGAUGACUUGUCCUUCCUCUCUGAAUCCUUGCUUCUCCGAGAGGGUCUUCGUUCAUAACGAUCAUCUCUACUCCUUCUCUCUCUUUGUGGUGAUUCUUCUCUCCUACUCCUUCUUUUGGGAGAAUCUUCUCUUCUUUUGUAGGGAGACAUACACUCAUUGGAAUAGUGUCCGGGUCUUCCACAAUUGUAGCAAUUACGCUCACGACUAGAAGAUCUUUUGUCAUUGUAGGACCUUGACUUGGAACUUCUUUCCUUGCUUCUACUCUUGUUGAACUUGUUGAAGUUCUUCACCAUUAGGCUCAAUUCUUCAUUGAAGGUUUGUUUCUCACUUGAUGACGUGGGAGCAUCACAUGAGGCUUUGUAAGCACCACUUGAUAUGUUGUGGAGCUCUUCCUUAUCCUUGAGUGACAUCUCAUGAGCAACAGUUCUUCCAAUGACUUCCGUUAGCUUCUCAUGAGUCUUUAAAAGCUCUCGAUGAUCUUCCAAGGUAGUUUCAUGAGCUAACUUAAGAGUGUUUAGUUCUUUAGUUAGACUCUCAAUCUCCUUCUUAUCAUUGUCAUUUGUUUUAUCUUGAUUAGCAUGAUUAAUAGCAAGUUCAUCAUAGUUUUCAUCACUAGAGUUGUCAACAAGUAAAUCAUCAUCACCUAGCAAAUCAUCUUCAUCACUAUUGAUAUCAACAUACUUGGGGUGUGAUACCUUUGGGACUUUAGCCAUUAAGCAUCUUCCAAUUCCUUCAUUUGGCGAGUCAAAUAUGUCAUAGGAGUUGGUUGACACAAGUGCUAGACCGGCAACACCUUCAUCUUGAGUAUAUUCGGAGUCGGUGUGAUAACUUCUUUCGGAGUGGUGGUCGGAGUUGGAAUCGGAUACCCAUUCACCAACAUGAGCUUGAUGUCUUUGUUUUGUAUAGCUCCUUGAUGACUUAUCCUUCCUUUCCGAAUCCUUGCUCCUGCGAGAGGUUCUUCGUUCAUAACCAUCAUCUCUACUCCUUCUCUCCCUUGGAGGUGAUUCUUUUCUUUUGCUUCUCCUUUUAGGUGAGUCUUCUCUUCUUUUGUAGGGAGCCGUACACUCAUUGGAGUAGUGUCCGGGUCUUCCACAAUUGUAACAAUUACGCUCAUGACUAGAAGAUCUUUUGUCAUUGUAGGACCUUGACUUGGAACUUCUUUCCUUGCUUCUACUCUUGUAGAACUUGUUGAAGUUUUUCACCAUUAGGCUCAAUUAUUCAUCGAAGGCUUGUUUCUCACUUGAUGGUGUAGGAGCAUCACAUGAGGCUUUGUAAGCACCACUAGACUUUUUGUGAAGCUCUUCUUUAUCCUUGAGUGACAUCUCAUGAGCAACAAUUCUACCAAUGACUUCCGUUGGCUUGAGAUCUUUGUAAUUGGGCAUCAUUUGGAUCAAUGUGCACACGAUAUCAUAUUUUCCAUCCUUCAUUUCCUAAGCCGGCAAUCUCAUUUGUGAUGAGAGCAAGCCUAGAGUACAUUUCAGCGACACCUUCACCAUCCUUCAUUUUGAACUUGUCAAGUUGACUUUGAAGCACAUUCAAUUUGGAUUCCUUGACGGAGUCGGUACCUUCGUGCAUAUCAUUCAAAGUAUCCCAAAUUUCCUUUGCAUUCUAAAGACGACUGAUUUUGUUGAAUUCUUCCGGGCACAGUCCGUUGAAGAGGAUAUUGCAAGCUUGAGCAUUGUAUUGCAACAUCUUCAAUUCUUCCGAGGUAGCUUCACGAUUUGGUUCUCUCCCAUCGAAGAAUUCACCUUGCAAGCCAACACACACAAUAGCCCAAACGGCGGGGUUAUGUCCAAGAAUAUGCAUUUUCAUCUCAUGCUUCUAACUAGCAAAAUUAGUACCGUCAAAGUAAGGACCUCUAUGGUGGCAAUUUCCCUCACUAGACGCCAUACUCUCCUAGGUUGUGAAACCAAGGCUAUGAUCACCAAAGCUAUGGAAAUCAAUGAAAAUGGAGACCACAGCUCUGAUACCACUUGUAGGAUUGAAAGUAAGUCCAGAGGGGGCGGGGUGAUUAGAGUACUUGACCAAAUAAAAAUCUAGCCUUUUCCCAAUUUUAAGUCUUGGCAGAUUUUAGCAACUUAGUACAAGUCAAGCAAUCAACCUACACAUGCAAUUCUAAAAGUAUAGCAGUGGAAUGUAAAUCAUUUCAUAUGAAGGUAAAGGGGAGGAGUUUGGAGGGAACAAACGCAAUGUAGACACGGAGAUUUUUGGCGUGGUUCCGAUAGGUGGUGCUAUCGUACAUCAACGUUGCUGGAGACUUCAACCCACGAAGGGUAACAGUUGCGCGAGUCCACGGAGGGUCCACCCAUGAUAUGUCCAUUUUGCAUCAUGUUUUCUUACUGCAUUUUAUAAGGUUUUUAUCCAUAAUAAUGCUUUUUGGGGUAAUUAUAAUGCCUUUUCUCUCAUAAUGUGCAAGGUACACACAAGAGGGAGAAUUCCGGCAGCUGGAAAUCUGGACCUGGAAAAGCUACGUCAGGCCUCCUAUUCUGCACAACUCCAAACAAGCUGAAACUUCACAGAGAUUUUUAUGGAAUAUUUAAGAAUUAUUGGAGCAAAUAACUACCAGAGGGGUCCCACCAGGUGGGCAUAACCCACCUGGGCGCGCCAGGGAGCCCAGGCGCACCCUGGUGGGUUGUGCCCUCCUCGGCCCACCUCCAGUGCCCAUAUUUUGGUAUAUAAGUCAUUUUGACCUAGAAAAAAAAA